GGAGUAUUCUGCUUCCAUUAUUACAGUCUGGGAAACAUUGUUUUAUAUCAUCCCAAGCUUCUGUAGUCCAUAUGUCAUCAAUGACUACCAAGUAUCUCCUGCCUUUCAGAUUCUUUUGCAGUCGGUCCGCUAGCUGAUCAUCAGGUUCAUUACUUAUCGAAGAAAGAAGGCCUAGGAUUACAUUUCUCACACAAUACUCUUGUGAAACAGUUGCUUUUGCACGAAUAUCAAAUCGAGACAUAAUGUAAGGAUCACUAUAGAGUUUUGUAGCCAAAGUUGUUUUCCCGAUACCUCCCAUCCCUACGAUUGAGACAACUUCUAGUUCCCUUCCUCCUCUAGCAAGUUGAUCCAGCAUCAUCUCAAAUUCAUUUUCACGGCCAACCAUUAUAUUCUCGGGCUGCUCAACAUCAUGUUCAGGUAAACUGACAAGUGAGCUAGUUUGUGGUUUUAGAUCUUUCAUGCUGUCCGAUGCUGCCAUCCACUGUUUCACGGUGGAAUCAAUGCAUUCUAGUGCUUGUUCCAAGACGAAAAAAAUCUCCCACAUAGCCCUGCUUCUUUCCUCCAAAUUCUGUGCUAAAAAAACAUUUCUUGAUUCCGAGUCAACCAUAUCUUCUGUUGUGUAUGCUACCUCUACGAUUUCAACUUCCAAGAUUGUUAACUCCUCAUGAUCGCCCGUUAUAUUGCAGGAAUUCUCCAGAAUAGUUCUUAAAGAUUCGAGCUUUUCAUAAAACGGUUGCAAAUCACAUCCAGUAAGUUCCAUUGAUUGAUGUAUGGUUCUCAUAAGGGAAGUAACAGCAGCAUAAGCCAUAUAUCCAAAAAAUAGAAAUAUCUCUCAGUAUGAAAAUGGACAAAUUGCCACAAGUCAUGUAAUUUUUCAGUUUUUAAGAAAACAGAAAAUGCAAACUUCUUUCUUUUACUAGGCUAUUUCCAUCACAUUUCCAGCUAGGUCCACCAACCUUAUCAUCAUGUAGACAAAAGCAGAGACCAAAGUUUAAAAAAAGAAAAAGAAAAAAAGACAGGAUUCUAACUGGAAAAAGUUGAAAAAAUUGUGACCAUUCAUUAUUAUACCUUACACUUAUCUAUUCAUGAAUAUAAGUAGGGAAAAGGGCCUCAUUUACCCUGAACUUUAUGAUUUGGAGCUGAUAUACCCUUCGUUUAAAAAAUGGCCCAUAUAUGCCCCUGCCGUUAUAGAAAUGGCUCAUAUAUGCCCUUUUACUUAACAGACCAAUAUUUAAUAAAUUAAAAAUUCAUUUUUUUAUGCUUUAAUUUGAGAAAAUGCCACGUGGCUCUUAAAAUACCCCACCCAAUAACUUUUCAGCAACCCGACCCAAUGGAAACAAGAAAACCCCAUCCACUUAAAUAAACCUAGCCCAUUUCAUUCUAUGGUCUCCACUCUCCACGCUUGACAUGAAAAAAAAUCAAAAACUUGUUAGGGUUUCAGUGAGCUCUAAACUGGUGUCAAUCAAUCUCAAUAAUGUUCAAAAUCUUAGGUAAGUUUCGAUUAUUUUCUUCCCUUACUUUUAAGGAUCUUUGGUGUUAAAAAUAUAGGAUAAUAUGUGAGAAAAGUGUAACUGAGUUUACCUAUGUGCUUUUUUCCCUUGACAUUCUGUCCAUGGAAGGUUUAUUUUCUUACUUUAAUACAUGAGUUUAUCUCUUUGUAUGCAGAGAUGGAAUCUUUGUUGGUCCCCAAAUAGUUAUUGUCUCUUUAGUAUUUUAAAAUUCAUUUUUCAAUUGGUUGGUGUUAAAUGCUAAGGUGGUCCCUUAUGUCUAAUUUAUUUGCUUGUUGCAGGUGUCAUUUUGAAGGAUGAUUAAAGAAGUGGAUAUUGUUUUCAACUAUGGGGGCAAUAGGGUAAUUUCCCCAAAGCUGGGAUACAAUAUAAAAUUUCAGCACACCUGGUAUUAUAAUACUUGUUUAGUUUGUUAUGAUGAUUUGUGUGAAGCUUUUACUUCCAAAUUUGGAUUUAAGGAAGUUCAACAAUUGUUGGUCACUGGUCCAUCUGGUACUUAUUAUGUAAUUGAAGAUAAUGAUGGAAUUAAGACUCUUCAAUACUUAUUUUCAGAAGAUUUCAAGGUAAUAGAUUUUUAUGUUGUAGAUGCUCAUGAAUUGAGAGUUUCUGCCACAAAUAUCAUAUAUCAUACUGAAUCAUAUUUUGUGGAUGUUGAAGCUGCUACUGAUUGUGAUUAUAGUGAUGUGGAGGAUGAUACUCUUUAUGAAAUGGGCAACAGUUGUGAAAUUGUUGAAUAUAAUGUUGAAGUGCUUCAACGUUAUGAACAUGAAAAAGAGAGAGUUGUGAGUGAUGGACUUGAAAAGUUUAAGGAAUUAGAAAUGGGUAUGACCUUUAAGACUAUUGAAGAACCUAGGCAGGUUGUUAGCUUUUAUGCUAUGGCUAACAAAAGAAGUUGAAAACAAAAAAAAGUGAUACAAAAAGAAUUAGGUAUGAGUGUUAUGAUGGUUGUCCCUUUUACUCUUCUCAUAUCUAAGGAUGGAAAAUCAGCAACAUUUAAGGUUAAAACAUUGAUGCCUAAGCAUACUUGUGGUGAUUCUUUUGUUAAUCCAUUGGAAACUUAUCAUACCUUGGCUGUUUAUUUUAAGGAUGAAGUUCUAAACAAUCCAAAAUACCCUAUCAAAGACAUGAGAGGAAUUCUUGAAAAAAAAUUCAAGUUGAAUGUCUUAAGAUCCAAACUAAAAAGAGCCAAAACAAUGGCUCUUGAUAAGUUGGAAGGCAGUUUCAAAGAUGACUACAAUAGGCUUGAAGCUUAUGGUCAAGAACUUAGACAAUCAAAACCAGGAUCUGAUGUGGUAAUUAAUAUCUCUAAAGAUGCACUUGAACAAGGCAUAAGAAGGUUUUUGAGAAUGUACAUUUGCUUCAAGGCUUUGAAGGAUGGAUGGAAAAGUUUGAGACCUAUAAUUGGUUUAGAUGGAACAUUUCUCAAAGGAAAAUGCAAGGGGCAACUAUUAGUAGUUGUUGGGCAAGACUCAAUGAAUCAUUUUUACCCAAUAGCUUGGGCAGUGGUGGAAAAGGAAAACACAGGAACAUGGACAUGGUUUAUUCAGUUGUUGAGGAUUUCGUUGGAGUUGAAAAAUGGUGAAAUUGUGACAUUUAUGUCUGAUAUGCAAAAGGUAGCUUUAAAUUUAUUUUUUUCUUAUUGCCUUUUCUUUAUCUUUUUUCUUACUGUCAUUUUUUUCUUUUCGAUUUUUAGGGCCUGUUCGAUGUUGUAGCUAAUGUUGUUCCAGAAGCACACCAUAGGCUUUGUGUGAGGCAUAUAGAAUCUAACUGGUGCAAGAAAUGGCGGAGUGGUGAAGAGAAAAAAUUGAUGUGGUGGUGUGCAUGGAGUACCUAUGAAGAAGAAUUCAAAGACACUUUGAAGGUGUUAGGAAAGGUGGAUGAAGAUUCAGCUAGUGAUCUUCUUCAUUUUCCUGUAAUUAAAUGGUGUAGGGCAUAUUUUGAUACUCAAUGUAAGAAUCUAAUGGUAGACAAUAACUUCACCGAGUCUUUUAACAGUUGGAUACUUGAAGCUAGAAAAAACCAAUCAUUAAAAUGUUGGAGGAAAUUAGAGUGAAGGUGAUGAAUAUGUUGGUGAAAAAUGAAAAAAUGGGCAGAAAAUGGCAAAAUGAUAUCAGUCCAACGGUUAUGAAAUUGUACAAUGACUAUCGAUUAAUGGCUACCAAUGGUACAGUUGAGUUCAAUGGAGAUUAUGGUUAUGAAGUGAAAGAUGGAGACACGGACACACAUACAGUGAAUUUGGAGUUGAAGAAAUGCAUUUGUAGAUUAUGGGACUUGGGUGGAAUACCGUGUCACCAUACCAUCAAGGCAAUUUUGCAUAAAAAAACUGAACCAUUGGAAGAGGUUCAUUACUGCUAUAAAAAGAGGCUUAUUUGUUAACAUACAAGCACAAGUUGCAACCAGUUAGGGGUUCUCAAUUCUGGAAAAUCGACCAUGCUCAAGCAAUGGAACCUCCGAAAAUGGUAAAACUUGUUGGCAGACCCAAGAUGAAAAGAAAUAAAGAAACUGAUGAGGCAAGUUUGAGAAAGGGGGCAUGGAAGCAGUCAAGAAAAGGAACUCUAAUGAGAUGCAACAAAUGUGGUGAUUUCAAUCACAAUGCUAAGGGAUGUUAUAAGGUAAUCUCUCUUAAUAUUUUCUUUUAGUUAAAAGGUGUUCAUUUUUGUCAAUCACAACAAUUUUUUUGGGUUGAAGGACCAUGAAGACGGUGAAAGUUAGCAUGAAAGAAAUAAGAAAGCAAGCAAUCAAAAGUCGAGGAGUUGAGCAAGAAAAAACUCUAUUGUAGAGUAUGAGACAGAAGCUUCACCCCAACAAUUUCAGACAAAACAGUCGACUGCCUAUGGUCCUAAGAUCGGGAAUGAUGAAGAUCCAGCAUUGCGACCAAUGGUAAUUUUUGAGACAGAAACAAGGAUGGAAAAGAGGUCUCGAAUAUUUGAAGGAAUAGGAAGCAGGAAGAUUGUUUUUUAAGGGGAUGCAAGAGGAAUCUCGACCCCUUCGGAUCUACCAUAUUCACCAAAGAAGACUACUUGAAAGGGCAAGAAAGCAGUCACAAUUGAUCAGUUACAAGCUGAAGUAAAGAAGAAAAGAGUGAAACAAAUGGCAAUGAAGGGCAAAUGGCCCGUGGAUACUAAUGAUGAUCUAGUUUAGAAGUCGUUGUGUGGUUGAUCAUUUUUUGACAUUAGGUGGUUAUUUUGGAUAGUAUUAUAUGAUGUAAAUCCAAACAAUUUCUUUUGUUGCUAACCAUAUAAUAGAUAUUUGUGGUUGGUUUAACCACCAGAAGGUUAAUCUUCUUUUGCUGGUAACUUGUGUUAAGAUAAUUUUAUAAAAAUUGAGAAUUAUAUUCUACUGCAUCUGGUGUAAUUAUUGUUGAUUGUAUUUUGUGUGAGAGAGUAAAUUUAUGUGCUUUGAUUGGUAGCGUUGUUUAAAUUACGACUAAAAUUAGCAUUGUUCACGAUCUUCUUUGAACUAGUAGAUAGCUCACAGAUGAUUCAACGUGGAAUGUCAAGGAGUCAUUGAUGAUUCUCUAUCAUUUUACCUCGAGCUUUUGAUUCUCUUUCAUUACUAAAUAAUACAAAAGUUGACAAAAUCACUACACAAGACCAAAUAAGGUGAAUCAAAAGUUGUCAUAAAUCAAUACAAUGAACCAAAAGUUAAUUACACAUAAGUCACAAAACUGCAAAUGAGAUGAAAAAGUUUAGUCGCAUAAUAUGGCCUUGGAAUCUAUCAUUUAAAUUCCCAGAAAAGAUAUGAUCCUACAAAGUACUACUAUAUUUCCAAAUUUUACAAACUUUUUGCCUCAGUGAGUGAAGAAAAGAACCCAACUAAGCAACUGAAUGUAAAAUAACUUCAAACUUUUCUCUCGAAUUUUAAGAUUUCAUAAACGCAAUGACUCCGUCCACAGUUCGUUCGCGAACACUCUGAAUAUGUGGUGUGACGGCCAAUAAAACUUCAGCAGACUCUUGAUUUUCACUUGUAGCUGCAAGAUGUAUUAGCAUGUAAUUAUCACUGACAGUAUCCCCUGCCUUUACCACACAACGAAAGAAUGAACUGCCGCAACUGCUAGCAGAGGACACAUAUUAUCAUCUCCUAUUUGAGCAUCAAAAUUAGCAUGGUGUUUUAGCAAAACCGUAAUAGCAUCUUCCUGGCUGCGGUCUACAACGCAUAUUAAUGGUGUUCCAACAUCAACAUCACUUCGCAAAUCAACGUCUACACCUAUCGGUAGAAACAAUUUAACCAAUUCAAUAUGCCCAUUUCCUGCAUCAUUAAAUGGACAAAAUAAAACACAUAAGAAUAUCACUUCAAGCAAAGAAUAUCAAGAACAAAUUUACCCUAUAACUCUAACACCAAAGGUCCUUAAAAGAAAAGGGAAGAAAGUAAUCGAAACUUACAUAAGAUUUUGAACAAUAUUGAGACUGAUUGACGCCAAUUUAGAGCUCACCGAAACCUACCAACAUUUUGAUUUUUUUUCUUGUUGAGCGUGGAGAGUGGAGACCAUAGAAUUAAAUGGGUUAAAGUUUAUUUAAGUGGGUGGGGUUUUCUUGUUUUCAAUUGGGUCGGGUUGGUGAAAAGUUAUUGGGUGGGGUAUUUUAAGAGCGAUGUGGCAUUUUCUCAAAUUAAAGCAUAAAAAAAUGAAAUUUAAUUUAUUAAAUAUUGGUCUGUUAAAUAAAAGGGCAUAUAUGGGCCAUUUCUAUAACGGCAGGGACAUAUAUGAGCCAUUUUUUAAACGGAGGGUAUAUCAGCUCCAAAUCAUAAAGUUGAGGGGUAAAUCAGGCCCUUUUCCCAUAUAAGUAUGUUUCUUACAUACAAGAGAUUGAUGAUUUUAAUUCCAUUGAAAGCUACUUAGUAGAAUUUUCCAAAUCAAAGAGAGAGAAAUAUUAAGAUCCAAGUAGGAAUUUCUCUAUUCCUAGUUCGAUUCAAUUAACCAAGCAUAAAUAUCUCUUAAUAUACAAGAGAAGUUUAGACUCUAAAAGUCAAAUCAACAAAAUAUUGAUGGGCUAACACAUGAAAAACUACUGAGAAAAUCGCCUAAUUCCUGUAAAUUGUCCCUUAAAUACCCAAAAUGGACUCUAAAAAUUGUUAGAAUGUACGUAUUGCUCCCCCAACUCCCUACUGAGGGUUUUGUAAAGAUUUCGAUUAGAAAUCGUCCAUAAGUCAUAUCACUAAUAUAUUAAUGGUUAACACACACGACAAACUGAGAAAAUUAUCUAAUUUCUUUAAAUUGGCCCCUAAAUGCCUAAAAUGGACUCUAAAAGUUGUGAGACUGUACAUACUGCUCCCCCGACUCCCUACAGAGGGUUUCGUAAAUGUGUAGCAAAGAAAUCGUCUGAAAGUCAUAUCACUGAAAUAUUAAUGGGCUAACACAUACAAAACACUGAGAAAGUCGCCUAAUUCCUGUAAAUUGGAAUUCUAAAAUUGUGAGACUAUACGUAUUGCUCCAUUAACUCUCUAUGGAGGGUUCCGUAAAGAUUUCACAAAGAAAUUAUUCGAAAGACUUAUCACCAAAAUAUUCAUGGGCUAAUACAGACGAAUUGAGAAGAUCACCUAUUUCCUAUAAAUUAGCCGUGGGAUACCUAAAAUGGACUCUAAAAAUUGUGAGACUAACUCCCUACGAAGGGUUCCAUAUAAGUUUCGCAAAAGAAAUCAUUCAGAAAUCAUAUCACCAAAAUAUUUAUGGAUUAACACACACGAAAAAUUGAAAAAAUCGCCUAAUUCUUUUAAAUUGGCCCCUUAAUCCCUUUACGAGAUUAAUUAGAGAUGCGCGAGCGCGCGCACACACACACAUACACACACAUAUAUAUAUAUAAAGAAGAGAAGCUAGUUGUAGGGUUUGAUUGCCAUAAAAUACUUAGACAAUGUGGGUGACGCACAUUGUGAAUCUCAUGAAUUGACUCGUGGAUCAUUGUGAUAUUGGCCCAUGAAACUUAGUCUUAGGGAAAGAUUGUUGGGUGUGAGAUUGAAUUUCCACAUUUGAGAAGCUAUAUAUAAGGUGUAGGAUCUCUUAAGGGAAAAUUUCAUGUAUGGAAAACGUAUUUAAUGAAAUAACGCUCUAUAGGUAUAGUUUAGUAAUUACAUUCAAUGGGUAGUUUAGUUUGCUAUGAAGCAUUAAUUUUGUAUAUAAUGUUUUUUUUAAAAAUAAUUUAUACAAUAUUUUUUUUAAUAAAUGGAUACAUGAGCGCUAAAUACAGUAACAAAAAAUUUACAUAAUCCCAUGAUUCAAGCUAAUCGUUCAAAAUCAAAUAUUUUUCCAAAAAAGAGUUCUAUAGCAAUAGAAACACCAUAACAGCUGGUUUCCUCAAACGACUGAAGCAUACGAUUAAUCAAUAUUCUUGUAUAUUCAACACCAGGUAAGCGUUUCUUUCAAGGAAACUUCAUGUUUUGAACGGCAAGAAAGUAUACAAUUGAUUUGUAUAGUAUAUAAUUGAAAUUUUGGAAAACGGAUUAUUUUUGUUUUGUUCAUUCUAAUGGUUCGCAAUAAUUUAAUUUUGUUUAUACAAUAUUAGAUAAAUUUUAUAUUAACAAUUCAAUUCUAAUUUUUUGUUCAAAAAAUUGAAUGACACAAUUUGUAUAUAUGAAGUGUAUAUGAUUCGACAACAAUGGUGUGCUUUAAUUUGCUAAUUUUUGUUGUUGUUGUUGUUGUAAUUUUACUGUAUAAAUAAGUUAUACGAUUUGUAUAUUGUUUAAUUGGUAAUAUUGUAUAUAUGUAAGUAAUUGUAUACAAUUAUUAUACCAUAAAUAAGUGUAAGUAGUUGUAUAAAAUUACUAUGACAAUUAUAUAUAUGAAUUGUAUAUGAUUCAAUAAAAAAGGUGUGCUUUAAUUUGAUAAUUUUUGGUGUAACCUAAUGUUGACACCCAUUUUUGGACCUCCACAAUAUAUAUUAAUUCUCGAGCUUCUUAGAUUUCAAAUGAUUUGGAGUUAUUAGUUUAUAAAAUUUAAAUAUUUUUUAAAAAGAUUUUUGAAGCGAUUUAGUCGGCUUUAUAAUAUUUUAGAUAAUAGAUGGAUUUUACAUAAUUACUUAUAUAAUCAACGUGUAUUAUUAGCAUUUGGAAAUCAUCUUGAAAUAUUUUGCAUUUUUUAAAAUUAACUAUGUUAUUAAUUUAGUUUAGUAUAAAUUAAAGUUAUGAUUCUGAGUUAUUUGAAUUAGUUAGUUUAUAAUUAAAUUGUUUAUUUUAUUUUUGUUAAGAUUAAGAAGCUUGUUAAUUAAUUAAUAACAAUUCAUCUUAUUUAGACUUUGGCCGAAUUCACCAAUUAAUCCCAAUUUGGCUAAGUUUUAACUCUGAAUGGUUAUAAUCGUAAUCCAUUUAGCCCUUCUUGAUAUUGCAAUUUUAACCAUUCUCUAACCUUACCUCUAGCUUAUUUAAAUAAUCACCAAGGGGCUUUUAUCCUUGAUUACAUUUUCAGCAACACCCAAGCCCAUUUUUCCAUCAGCGUACAAUUAUUUCCAGCCAAUAAACUCCAGCAGUCCAUACCCACCCUCCAAUUCCCAUUACAGCAUACAACAAUUCCCAGUGAUUCAAACAUACACGUAGAGCAGCACCAACCGACCCCAUCCCCUUUAUUUCGCUCAUCUCCUCGUCCGUUUCAAAGUAAUAUUCUGGUGUUUGGAAGCAUCUGUUCUGUGAUUGUUCGUUGUUAUUUUUCAUAGGAUUGAUGAUGUUUUUAACGUAUUAAAUGUACACUUAAUUGUUUCCAUCAGUUAGUCCUAAUAUGGGGUCAAGUUCCGGAGAGCCAUUAAAGUUUUAUUUUGUUGUAUUUCUUUUCUUGAGCCUGCUCCUCGAACAUCGUCGAAUCUAUGUUCUUUUCGCUUUAGCAUCUUGAAUAUUGAAAGUUCCAUUCACUUUAUUACUGCUAAUGUUCUCUGUUCUUCCUUUGAGAUGAGGAAAAAUCUUCCGUACAAAUUGUAUGUUGUUGUAGCUGCUGUUCGGUAGGCAUAAGUGGUUAUUUUCUUCUUGAUUAAAUUUCAUGGCCGUCCUAUUUUGCAUUGCGAAUGUGUAACUGUUUAUUUGGUUUUUAUUCCUCCUCAUUUUCAGCAUAUUUCCAUAAUUUUGGUUGAGUGUAUUGCUUAUUCUAACUUGAAGCUAAAUGUUUAUAAUAAUUUCGUUGGUUGUCUGCUUAAAUGUGGGCUGAAUAUCAAUACUAUUCUUUCUAAAUGUUAAGUUAUACUCGUUCUUUUUGGUUUUUUUUCUUCCGAGGAUUUGCUUUCGACUAUAGUUCUGUUUCUUUUGUGCGUGUGUUUGGAGGUCGGCAUUUGGUUUUAUGCCAGCCUAGUUUUACAUAUCUCUUUUCACUUUCAUGGAAACCUUUGAUGUUAUAGCUCUACUUGUCGGAUUAGGUUUAAAAAAAUGAAAUGCAUCUUUGUUCUUCUCAAAUUUGUUCCAUGUUUUCUUGGUUUUUUAAAAAAAAUGGUAUAGCUGAUUAAAAUAGCAUUAGUUUAGCUCGAGAUUUCCUUAAUACCGUGUUGCUAUUUAUUCUAUCUCGCAUCUUAUAACUCGAUAUUAUUUGUCUUGGGUUCUUUGUGGCUUUUAUUUCGAAAGUUUUGCCUUGCUAUCGUGUCAAUUUUCGUGCUUGUUGUUUGUAGCUGCUUGAGAAAAUAUGAAUGACCACUUUAUAAAAAAAAAAAAAAAAGGAGUUAGAAUCAACAAUGGGUUGCUGUUUGAAUAAUUGACCUUCAGCUUAUUUUGCUCAAAUGUUAAGUCACGUAUGUUCCCAAACACGGUUCGUAUACAAUGGUACACGUGAUGUGUAUACACAGAUUUCUUGAAGGAAAAUGGGGGGCAAAAGCCCAAGGAAAUUUCAGCAAGUCCAAGAUUUGGGCCUAAUUUGAUAUUCCUCUCCUUGCUCUUAUUUAUUUUGUUAUAUUUGACUAACGUUUUGAUUAUCUUAUGAUUUAAUCUAAUUAAAUUUUCCAAGAAUGGUCAUUUCAUUUUAUUUUUCGAAUUAAAGUAUAUAUAUUUUAUUACUUAGUUUUUAUUUUAAUAUUUGUCUUGUUGACAUUUUAUGAACUAUUUCCCUUUAGAAAAUUCUCCUUUAGUUCAUUCCCCCUUAAGAUAAAUAAAAUGAUAAAAAUAAUAGUAAUAAAUAAAUGAGUUCAUUUACUUAGCUAAAUUUUUUUUUAAAUAAGUUAAAAUAAAUGAGUUCUUUUACUUAGUUAAAAUUUCAAAAAUUAGUCAAAGUCGUUAUGAGCUCUUUUAUACUUAGUUAAAAUUUCAAAAGUUAGUCAAAGUCAUUUUUAGUCAAAUCGUCGGUCAACCGCAAGUUAGCGGACAUUUUGAGGGCCUAACACCUUCUCGGAAUGUACAUUGAACUCGAACCCUUUUUCAAUUGAUUUUAUCUGUUUGAGUAUUUUGAAAAUCUUAAGUUUUUUCUUGAGUUUUACUAAAAAAAUUAAGUGGCGACUCUAUUCUUUUGGAAAUCGAUUUCUCUUAAACUACAAGUUUAAUCGAUUUUUUCGAAAUCCUAGUCAUUUUUCUUUUAUAUAUAUUUUCGAGUAAAACACCUAACUGUAUAUAUAAUAAUGUAAGGUUUGUAUAUUGUUUAAUUCAUACUAUUGUAUAUAACUUACAAAAUAUACAAAUAUAUAUAUAUAAUACAAUUAUGAUUUAAGCAAAAAAUAUACAUAUACUUCAAGCAAUUUUGUAUAUAACUAACAAAAUAUACAAAUAUCUAAAUACAAUUGUGAUUUAAGCAGAAAAUAUACAUAUAUUUCAAACAAUUUUGUAUAUAACUAACAAAAUAUACAAAUAUCUACAUACAAUUGUGUUUUAAGCAAAUAUUUGAUGUUCUUGAUCUAAUGAAGGAGACACAACCUCCUCAGAAUCACUAUCUUUGGCUUUCCUCGUACUUCCUCCUUCAACAACUUUAAUGUCGCUUGCCUUAACAUUGUUGAUGACUUCUGGGAGUGCAAUUGGGUCAUUUUUUUUCUUGGAUCUCAAUUCUUCAAUAGAUUUUUCCUGUAGAAUUUGUUUAGAUUUUUCCAUAGACCCUGCAUUGACUCCAAAAUCUUGAGUUAAACCGAGUGAAAAUGAAGGUUGAUUAUUAAAAACUUUGACAUGCAAUGACGUACCUCUCGCAAUCCUCUUAGAUGGAGUCGAAUCAUCCAUUUUAUUUUUUGUAAAAAUGAUAUAUAAUAAGUAAUGAGGGAAUUUUGAGAAAAAAUUAUCCAAACACUAACAUGCACAAUACAUAUACAAUUGAAAAAUGAAAAAGAAAAAAAGAAAAGAGGUUCACCUACGAUUUAUGCGGUUACCUGCAAAAAGUAAAACACGAUUGGAGGGAGAAAGUGAAAUUCGAAUUUCAAAUUGAUUUUAGGAGAAAAACAGGAAAUGAGGAGAGGAGAGGAGAGGAGAGGAGAGGAGAGAUAAAUUUAAUUUUGUAUAAAAUCAUAUACAAAGACCGAUGAAGGCUUUGUUGAUUCGGUAUACAAAGUGGUGGUGGGUCUCAUUAUUAAUGGCGAAAAAACUGAAAUUGUAUUUACUAACAGUAAAUAAAUUAAAUUAUACCCUCAAUGACUAAUAGCCUAGUAAUAUUUGCCAACUCACUUAAUUUUUCCAUAAUGUGUGAGACUUUUUGAAAGAAAAAAAAAUUGUGCUAACUUGGUUAAAGUGAACAAUUAUCAUACUCUAUUUAGAAUAUCUUUGGGCUAAUUUAUCCGAACAAAAACAAAUAAGUCCCCAAUCUAAGACCAUUAGCCGUUACUUGAAGACAAGACAUUCAUCAUUUGAACUAUUGAAUUAUGGACACAAGUCAAAGAAUCUUCCAACUAUUCAAGAAGUGUAAUUAAUACUUAAUAAAUAUAAUGUCAUCCUCAAUAACUUCAAAUAAUAUCCAAUAAUCAAUAUUAAAUUUUGAUAUUAAUAGAAAUAGUUAAUGAACCCCAAGUUGUAUAAUUUGAUUGUUGGGAUAAAAGAUAAAAGUCAAUCAAAAAUUUAAUUUUUUUAAGAAAUAAUCUUUUAAUUGUGAUUCAAUAAUGUAAUAACACAAGCAAUUACAAUACAUAUAAAUUUGCCAUGUCAGCAUAUGGUGUUCAUGAGUGCGUGUAUGACAAUAGUAAAAGUAUCUAUUUGGUCUUUUAGAUAAAUUUCAGUAUCUAAAUUACAAUUUUUGUCAAAUUUGAGGGAUUAUCUAGAUAUUUAGAUAAAAUUAUUUAUAUAUAAUUAUCUCUAAAUAGGCUCAUAAGCCAGUAAAUGAUACUUUAUAAAUAACUUCAGUUGUAAGUGUUUCUCUUACAAAUUCAAAUUAAUCCAAUGACAAAACCUUUUUAUGAUUUGACUGAAGAGGUUUCUGUGUUGCUGGUAUAUCAAGAUGAGGAAUUGGUUUCUAGUAAAUCAAAUGGUUGAUUUACUAGAGUUCAAUGGAUACAAAGGUGAUAUAUCUAGAACUAAUUUCUAUAUGACUUUCAUUAUAUAGAGAGAGAAUUAAUUGAUACGAUGUUUAUUUAGAACUUUUCCUUUCCUUGUUAUCAUAACAUUAUUUCUAUGCUUGUGUAUGUUGUGUUACAAGUUAAUAAAUGAAUUUGUAUGAUUAUAAGGAAUUAAAUUAGAUUCUUCAUUUUUGUUUUUGUUGUAACCAUGUCACUGACUCGAUUAGCUUUCUCCAUAAGGAUUGUGUAAUUUUUCAAAGAGGUUCAAUAAUUUUAUGUUAAAGUAUGUGUUGUUCUAAUUUUAUCGGAUAUUUUUCCAUAAAGGAGAUAGUUUAAGUUUAUGUUAAUAUUAAUUAUUUCACACUUGACUUUUUUGUACAAAAAAUAAAAAGGAAACUUAUUCUUUGUCAAUCGGGCCUAGAGUGACAUCGUGUUGGAGGAGAAAAUAAUUAGGACCCUCAUAAAUAAUUUUGAAAUCAUAGAUCUUUGAUUUUUACAAAUCUAUAUAUUGUUUUAGAAAGAAAACACAUUCACUUGGAUGAUUGAGGCACAAAAUAAGAGUAAGAGAUUGAAGAGAAGAGCGAGAUAAAGACAUGAUAAGAGAUGAUUUGGCUAUCAUUAUUGUCUGAGAUGACUUUUUUUUGUCUUUUAUUCAAUGUAGACAAACAAAUAAAUAGGGACAUGUGAUUUUCAUGAUUUUUUUCUUCUAUUUUUUUUUUUUGUCUUUUAUUAGAUGUAGACAAGAAAAGAAAUUUUUUUCAUGUGACUUUUCCUCAUUUAUUUUUGUUUCAUUUUCAAUUACUUUGUUAGUAUUUAAUAUCGAUUGUUCCUUAUUCAAGCUAUGUUAAAUAUUUUUAACAUAAUUUUUUUGGUAACUCCUUUCUAAUAAUUUGUUAAAUCUUCUAAACUCUCGUUACUUAUUUAUGAAAUAAAAUUACCUUAAAACUUUUUACAUAAAUUUAUCUUAAAACUUUUUAUCCUAUUAUAUCUUGCUUUAAUAGUAUUUAAUCUAUAUAUAUAUUCAGUGUUUAUUUGUUUUCAACAAGUCAAAGAAUAAAUUAGAAUAUAUUCUUUAGAAUUAUAUUCCUAUAGAAUCUUCUCUAUUAUAUAUUCCUACAGUUAUUUACUGUAAAGUAAUAUUAUAUAUUAGUAAGAUUGCACACACCGUUUACGAUAUAAGUUGAUUAAUAUGUGUUAUUUCAUAAAUUAAAGUAUAGCAACAUAAUAUGAAAUUUCAUAAUUGAAUUUGAAUGAGAAAUUAAAUAAACAUAUCCAAAUGAUAAUUUUGUGUAUAAUAUUUUUUUCAUGUUCUUCACUAACUUUAAAGUGUAUGGAUAUAUACAGUUACGACAGCUACAACUCCUGCAGCAAUGUCAAUGCUCUCCAAAGAAAAGAAAAAAAUUGACAUGAUGAUAAUCGAUGUCAAUUCAUCAGAUUUACAUUGUUUUGAACUCUUGACACAAGCUGUAACCUUAAAUAUAAUCUCUCUUGGUAAGUAUUUAUAAUUCUAUUUUUCACUUCUUGUUAUAAAUAUUGGGUAAAAUCAGUUGUUUCAAUUAAUACACCACAAAAAUAUAAUUAGCUAUAAAAUUUAUCGUUAAUCUAUUGUCAAGAGACGACAUCUAUCCAUUGGUAAUCUUGUUUUUAGUUAUAGUUAUAUGAUAAAUGAUUGUUUCGUAACAAAGUUGUUGUCGUAACAGAUAAAAUUCAGUAAAUAUAUGUGUGAAAUUAACUAUUCUCAUAAUGUAUGAUAUAUUUUUAUUUUUAUUUUUAACUUCUCAAUAUAAUUAUGUAGUUGUAUGUGAUGAACUCAAUAGACUCUUAGCCAAGAACGCUUUGGAAAAUGGAGCUUAUUUUGCUUGAAAAAGCCAUUCAACAAGGAAAUUGUGAAAUACUUAUGGCAACUUGUAUUGAGAGAAAAAAUACAAAGGGAGAAAUCGAAAAAAGGUUUAGAAGCAAAUGGACGAAAUCAUAUGAAUGCUGAUGAAAUUUAUGAUAGUAAUAUUGUAAGAGAUGAACAAUUUGGAGAGAAGAAUAUGCAUGUUGAUACUGAGGAACAUAACAAUAAUAUCCAUAAGGCUGAAAAUGAUGGCGUAUCAACUGGUAAAUACAAGUUGAAGAGGAAGAGAGGGAGAAAAGGUAUAAAACAGAUUAAUGAAGGAGAAAGUCGUAGCAGUACUGUUAUUAAUAAGACUGGUACACGUAAAUGACUUGUAUCAUGCAUUUUAAACAUACAUAAAUGACAAUGAAUUUGAGAUAAUAAUUAUAUCCAUAGUCCAACUCUCCUUUGAGUUUUUCUUUCUUUCAGAAAUGUCGUGAAAACAAUUGGAGACCUCGAAAAGAGAGAAAGAAUAUUCAUCACGGAUCCUCAAGUGAUUCUCAACAAAGAAGUAGUUGUAACACAUCAUUAGAAAGAAAAAAAAGGAGCUGCAAAAAACUUGGAAAAAUGCCUCAUCUUCAAACAAAUAUACCAAAUCAAAUACAAAGAGUCUCAGAGUUCCCACCAGUUAAUACCAACAACAUUUUUGCUAUUUCAACUCAGCAGCAACUCCAUCACCCACAACUUCAGGCUCAACCUCACUGCCUAAACCCAUCUUUGUCAGCCCAAAAUGAUGUUGGUGGUCAACUACAACAACACAGUCUGUUAUUUGGAAUGCGGGUCCAAUUAUUGGAAGCACUCAAAAUGGUUAUGGCUUGGAUCUCAAUCCUACCCAUGUAACAACAUAUUCAGGUAGCACAAUGAUAACUAAUACAAAUGUUGGAAAUGUGACACUUAAUGGAUUGGGAGCUACAAAUGCUAAUUUUCAGCAAGAUAUUGGUGAACAAAACAUGUUUGAUCCAAGUUCUUGCUCUCGUAAUAUUUGUAUCUUAACUUAUCGAAUGCAUUUAUGUAUCUUCCUGUAUUGCAAAAGCUAUAAUUGGGAAAAUAUUUUCAUCUUUUGAUGAGAAAUUUCUUAACCUUUACUCAUUUCUUCGUUUCCUUAUUAUGUAUUGAAUGUUUAAGAUUGUAGUAUAUUAUUACAUACUUAAAUCUUGUUUAUGAAAUUUUUUAAUGAUUAAUGUUUGGAUUAUAAAUCUCUUGUUUUGCUUAUGUAUUGAAUGAUUUUUAUUUUUAAUGAAGUGAGUCAAAUUGUUUCUUUAAUUAUUCUUGUGUUUUAAUAUUUCUAAAAGGAGCGACUAAUCCUAGGACUUGCUCAGUUACUUUGAUUUGAGCUCGAGAGAGUGAAAAAAGAAUAAGAAGAGAGAUUGGAAAAGAUUAAUUAACAAAAAUUGUGGUACUAAUUUGGGUAUUAAUAAACAAAUCCUUACUUGAUCGCAUAUGUGUUGUUCUGUGUGAAAUUUGCCUCUGACUUAUAGUUGACUAAAUUAUAUUGCAUAUGUUCGUGUACAUUUUCUCACUUGGAAGAGUGGAUUUGGAUGUUAUUAACCAUCACCAUCGUUUAGGUAGAAAAAGAAAAUAACUAAUAGUUUAAUGUUUUAAUACAUAAAUGAUCAACUAAUAUGAGACGGAAAGAGUAGCGUAAAUGUAAGAUUCACUUCUCACCAAGAAUCCUCCUUUCUUAUUAUUUUCCUUUUAGAGGUUAAUAAUUAUUAUGUAUCCCUAGAAUAAUUUAUUGAAAUAGUAGAUUUGAAAGAAAGCAAUUAUUCUCUUCUUCCUAUGCGGGACUUUUAGAACAAAACUAAUUUGACAAAAACCACAAUUUAUUGAUUUUUAGGUGGAAUUAUAUCAAUAAGGAACUAUGCUUAUAAUAUUAAUCUAAGAUCAUUAGGGGUCGUUUGGUAGAGUGUAUGAGGUAAAAUAAUGCAUGCAUUAGGUGUGUGUAUUAGUAAUACCUUGUUUGGUACACUUUUUCAUGUCAUGUAUAACUAAUGCAAGCAUUAGUUAUACACUAUAUUGUGUAUUACUAAUACCAAGAAAUCCUAGAUAUUAGUAAUACAUAGCGUUUUAAUACUUGCAUUAGAUUAUACAAUUACAAAACUACCCUCAAAGCCUUUUAAAAAAACAUCUUCAUUUUCCAUGGUACUGUGUUUAGAAACCUUUCAUCUUCUAUGUGGCUGCUAACACUACAAGAAAAGUGUGAAUUACAUGAGGAUUUUCCUGGGGAUUAGUAUGAAAAUCCGUAGGAAACUUAUUUUUCUGCAAAUUUUCAUACUAAUCCCCAGGGAAAUCCCCAUGUAAUUCACAUUUUUCUUGUAGUGUAAACCUUUAAAAAAAAACAUCUCCGUUAUUUAUAAAUUUGAUUGUUGUAAUACUUUUUUGUAUUUCAAUUGCACUAAAAAAUAGGAUCUGUGGCUGCUAAAGCAUAUGCCCAGACUCCUAAUAUAUAUAAAGUGCAUAUACUGAUUUUAAUAGGGUACCGCUUUGCAGUUAGGAAUUAUCUCAGGUCUAUGCUGCCUGUAUCUCCCUUACAUUCCAUCAGUUUUUAUUUUUUAUUUUUGGACUCGUUUUAUCUCAAAAUAUAUAUAAAGCACUACUAAUGCAUGCAUUACUAACACACCCUAUUUUACAUUAUUCUUAUACACUCUGCCAAACGAUCCCUAUUGUUACUUGAACACAUGGAUUCAUCAUCUGAACAAUUGAAACAAUUAAUACUUGUGUGAACCUCUUGUUAUUUCGAGUGAUGUGUCAGAAUCUUUAGCCAACUAAGACUAGCGUUAAAUUUUUGGCAAGUCUCAAGAAGUGUAAUUAAUACUUAAUAAAAUAAUCUCAUCCUUGAGAUUCAAGAACUUGUUUGGUCUGAAUAGGUUUUAAUCAUUAAGAUCUAGAACAAAGUCUUAAUAUUAGUAAGAGGUAUUUUUGUGUGAAUAGUUUUCUUUGAGGUUCGAGAAAUGGAAUAGAUAUGGACUACAAGUUGAUAUUCGCCAUUAGGAAAUUCACACGAAAAGGAACGAGGAAUUCUCAAUGAAAAAAGCGCUCUCUAAAUCUGUUUAGUAUUUGCCAUGAGGUUCUUACCAUAAUUGAAUUUUCCUUUUAGGAAAAGGUAAACACAGUCUCCAUAUUUGUCUAGUUCUUUUUCUUGUACGAAAAAAAUUAUGACUCUAUAAAUAGAUGUUUAUUCAUUCUAGCUUGGUAGCAUUCAUAAUGUAGUCUUAGGGGGCUUUGAGAGUUUUGUGUAUUGUGUGAAGCUAGGGGAAGAAUGUGUGAGACACAAGUAUUACUUUAACACUUGUGUGAACCUCUUUGUAUUCCGAGUGAAUUGUGUGAGGUCAUUCUUCUCUAGAUUUUGAACUUUCUUUUAUAUAGUGAUUUUUUCAUCUCCUCUUGUGGAUGUAGACCGGUUGACCGAACCACGAUAAAUGUUUGUGUCUUUUUGUAUAUUUCUCGUUUGUCUUAUUACUCAUCGUCUUUCGAGGUUUGCUUUGCUAACUUUUGCAUGACACCUAAUUAUUUCAGUCCCAACAAGUGAUAUCAGAGUCAAGUUCAAUGGUUUAAUGAUCCAAUGGUUGAACCAGGUCAAAAAUAAGUGUUCAUCUUGACGGGUUUAGUUCUACCAUAACAUAUUUGAUAGUAAUGAAGAUUUUUGUUGGAGAAAUAUUUUCAAAGAUGUUUUUUGUGUUGAGAUAUAUAUAUAUAUAUAGAGAGAGAGAGAGAGAGAGAGAGAGAGAGAGAGAGAGAGAGAGGGAGAUAUUUUGCAGAGGAGAUGCAUAGUUAUUGAAGAUUAUGUGAAGAAGGUGGAACAAAUUUAUUUUGUCAGAAAUUUAGGCCAAUGGAGAUAUUUGUUUAGUAUUUGUCAUGAGUUUCUUACCAUAAUUGAGUUUUUUUCUUUUAGAAAAAGGAAAACACAAAGUUUCCAUAUUUGGCUAGUUCUUUUUCUUGUAGGAAAAUGUUUAUGACUCUAAAAUUAUAUGUGUAUUCCUUCUAGCCUAAUAGCAUUCACAAUGUAGUCCUAGGGGGCUUAGAGAGUUUUGUGUAUUGCGUGUAGCUAGGGGAGAAUGUGUGAGACACAAGUGUUACUUUAACACUUCCGUAAACCUCUUUGUUUUUACAUUGAAUUGUGUGGGGUUAUUCCUCUCUAUAUUUUGUACUUUCUUUUAUAUAGUGAAUUGCUCAUAUCCUCUUUUGGAUGUAGGUCGGUUGUUCAAACGACGUUAAAUAUUUGUGUCUUUUGGUAUAUUUUUUGUUUGUUUUAUUACUCACAGUCUUUCAAAGUUUGCUUUGCUAGCUUUUGCAUGAUACCUAAUUAUUUCAGUCCCAACAAAACCAAACGUGAAAGUUGUUUUCCAGCAGGCAACUUUUCUAGUAGCUCUACUCUCGACUUGGAUAAUAUAUCCAAAAAGGUACGCUUUCGGUCAUUCCACAUGCUGCCUAUGUAGAGACAUGUUUAUCUAAAGUGGAUUCUCUUUUUUGCAGUAGGUAUUGAACCUGUUAUGCCCAUUGACUAAGAAGCUAGGGGUGGACACAACAACUACAUGGACCUCUUCCUUUCAUUGGCCAUCACCAUUAGUCGUCUUUGUUAUCACAAUGACCACCACCAUUACCGUCAUCAAAUAUCUCUGUCAUCACAAUUACCAUUCUUAUCAACCACUACUAUAUAUCAAGCAUUUGCUAUAUUUAUGUUUUUUAUCGACAUAAACAAUGGGUUAACAUGAUAUAAUUUAUUAGUAGUUUUAUAUAUUUUUCCCAUAAUAAAGGAAACAAUCACUUAUACAUUCUUUGAGAUCAUUUAGUGUAAAAUCAGGAGUGGAAUCAUAACUAGGGUUAUAGCUUAGGAUCAAUUCACCUUCUUAAUUAAUGGGAUAAUUUACUUAGCUAAAUUUGAGUGAAAAGAAGAAGAAAUUAAUUAAUUUAAUUCGUUUACGUUCCAAUGGGGUGUGCAAUACCCAUAAAUUUGUCAUGUCGUUAUUAGGUGUUCAUGAGAUGCAUAUAUUUCAAGCAAAAGUGUCUAUCUGAUUACUAGACAAGUUUAGCCGUCCAAUUUACAAAUUCUGCCAAAUUUGAGGGACUAUCUAGAUAUUAUUAAGAAAAUCUAUCUUAUUUAAUAUAAUAUUUAAAAUAGAUAACUUUGUAAUUAGUGUUCGCUAGAUCUUCAUAUUUUCUCCAACCAUUAUAAAUUCUCAGUGCUCUCUCUAUAUAAAUUCAUCAGGAUAAAAAUAAACAAGACAAGAUAUCAUACAUAAAAAAUAUCCAAAAGAGUUUUCUUUAAAUAUGUGUAAUCUUUUUUAAAUAGCAUAUCCCUUAAGAAGCUAUGUAGUUUUAUCACAAUGUCCUUCUUUAAUUGUUUUUCUUUAAUUAAUAAAAAGGUGUGUUAUAUAUAUCUUCAAUUGAUGAUAAGCCCACUUAUAUACAAAUAAAGUAAUGCAAGUGAAACUCUGUAAAGAAUCCUAUGAAGGUUCUAGCAGAGAAAUUAUAUUUAAAAAGGAGGGUAAUAGCUAAUGUGAAACAAUUAGGGUUGUAAAAUAAAAAAUAAAUCAAAAUAAUAAUAAUUAGGGUUGCAAAGCAACACCCUCUAUUAUUGAAGUUGAAGUUGUAAUUCGUAGGAUUAUUAUAUAAUUGUAAUAAUGCCUAGCUUUUUGUAACAAGAAGAGAAGUGUAUCAUCAUUUGGAGAGUUGUUAGAACAAUUAUAGUUAACAUUUGAGUUAAAGUACUAAAAUUAAUCUCUUAAAUUAUAAAGGUGUAAUUUGAAAUCAUUCGUUGAAGUUAGUAUAGAUUGAUUGAUAAGGAGUUGUUUAUAGUCUUUUGAGCAAAGAUAUUUUCAUUGUAAGCCCUUUCUUACUUAAUUAGCACUCCUUCGUUACUUUUUACUUAGUAGGACAUACGAAUUGAGGUUAGCUUAUCGCAAUCUAGUAUAUACAUUCAAUUAUUAGAAAAUAAAAUAAUAAUAAUAAAAUUAUUAUUAAAUUUAAGUUUUACUGUCUGGAUUUAUCAUGACACAUAUAAUGUCCACUUGGGCAAAUUUAUUAUUUAAAACACAAUAAUAAUAAUAUAUUCAAUGUAAUUUCAUAAUUGACAUUUGAGAAGAAAAAAUAUAUAUGCUAACCCUUGAUUAAAAAAUUAAAAUUAACCAACCAAAACUAAAAUAAAUAUUUAUAUAAGGUUGUGUAGUGAGAACAAUUAGAUAUACUGGUUUUAAUUCAACUAUGCAUUAAAAAGAACAAUAAGUUGCUGUGGUGUAGUGGUUAUCACGUUAGUCUUACACACUAAAGGUCCCCAGUUCGAUCCUGGGCAGCAACAUAUAUGUAAAAAGUUUUACUUUUUUUUUGAUAUGUCGACGAAAACGUGUUUAUCCUUUUAUUUGUCGGCGGCAUGUCGACGAAAACGUGUUUCUCCUCUUUAUUGUUUUCACCAUGACCUCUUCACUACUAUAUUUACAUUACAUGCUUGUUCUAUCGGAAACAACUCUACCUUCACAAGGUAGGGUAAGACUGCAUAAACGUCACCCUCCCCAUAGUACGUAAAAAGAAUAUGAGACAGCUGCAGGAUCAUGGAAAGAUCAAAUUUUCUCUUUAUUUCAUUAUUGCAAUUACUCCAUGUCAAAAUCCAAAUACAUUCUAUAGGCAUUUCUAUCUGAAGAGUAAUAGCCCUCCACAAGAGUAUCCACUUGGAAACCGAGUUUCUUGUAUAGCUGCAUAGCUGCAGUCCUUGUAGGAUCUACAUGAAGCGAUAUCCGAUGAACGUUUCUUGUUCUGCAUUUCUGCACUGCUGCCUCCAGUAAUUUUUCUCCAUGGCCUUGUCCCCUGUAGUUCUCUUUCACUGAUGUAUUCCACAGGAACGAUGCAUCAGUAAACAAAACGAAAAAUUUUAAAUGACAAAAGAUAAGGAAUAUUGUAAAUGAAUCUCUUAACCCCUCGUUUUUCAACUUGUGUUGAUUCGCUCAGGCCAGAGAACAACAAGAGAGAGACAGGCAUAAACAUCACGAUGAAAAACUCAUAACCACAUAGAGAACGAAAGCAAUUCUUUUGAAAAAUAAACAUCACAUGAAAGAUGGUUCUCUCUUCUAUGUAAUGACGGACAAUGCUUCACUGACUUAUCGGGAAUAUUUACUAAUAAUAUCAAUUCACCUUCUGCCUUUCCCUAUUGCGAUUCAAUAUGAUGACGAUCAGAGAAAGAUAUAACUAAACUCUCCUGCAAAAUUCCUUUAAAACAACUGCUAGCUAUUUCAAGGUUCGUUGUUUCCGCAAUAGUAACAUAUCAGCUUUGCUCGGAGGGGAAAACUACAUAACACCACUCUAAUUUAGAAAUGCUGCACUUUCAUCCAAUCCAGCUACAGAGAAAAACGUUGAAAGAGCAGAAGCAAUUUCUCCUACCUCUCUAUUCAUAGAGAUCAAAACUUGUUCGGCAAAUGCAUUCAUGCAUAUUCUUCUUUAAAAGACAACUUUUUGUAGAUGAACUGCUCCCAAAUAAGUAUUUUUAUCUUUUGAAUGCUCAAGUUAUAGUCACAUUCACACUCUUGACUGCUCUUUUUCCUACGAAAACAUUAUCAAAGAGUCACAUUUGAGUUCCUCACGAUUAUAACCUCGUAUAUUAAAUCAAAUUGGUCCUAGUCACAUUCGGAAAUAGUCUCUCUACUUUCACAACUAGGGAUAAGACCGCGUACAGACUAACCUCUCCAAACCCCACUUGUCUACGCGGUCCUAGUCACACUCACAUUGGGAAAUUGUCUCUCUACUUUCACAGGUAGGGAUAAGACUGCGUACACACUACCCUCUCCAGACCCCACUUGUCUACACAGUCCUAGUCACACUCACAUUGGGAAAUAGUCUCUCUACUUUCACAGGUAGGGAUAAGACUGCGUACACACUACCCUCUCCAGACCUUACUUGUCUACGCAGUCCUAAUCACACUCACAUUGGGAAAUAGUCUCUCUACUUUCACAGGUAGGGAUGGAUAAGACUGCCUACACACUAUCCUCUCUCCAAACCCGACUUAUCUACACAGAGUAUGUUGUUGUUCCAAUAAACAAUAUUAGAUAUCAGCUUAGACUUCAAUCCAAGAAUACAACUACAAUAAUCAGAAUAAAUUCAAGAAUAAGACCAAUUAUUAAAAGGAAAAUCAAAGCAAAACAGAAAAUUAUGAAAAGGGUAUUUUUUGUUCAGACCUGCUAAUUUAGUGAUACAAGCAGAGAGUGAAGAAGGCCAAGAAUACAUAACAUAACCAGCAAUAUCUUCACCUAAUUGAGUGUAGAGUAACCCAGAAUUCUUCUUUUUCAGUUCCUCAUCAAAAGAUCGAGCUAAAGAUUCAUGUUUGGGGAAAAUCUUCUUCUCUAUUCUCACUAUAUCGUCAACUACCUUAACCCAAUUUGCUGAAUUUCUCUGCAAUUCAACUAUCUCUGCCAUUUCUUCGUUUUCAUAUUUCUCUGUUUUUGCUGCUGUAUUUAGGUUAACAAGAAUCUACUGGGGUCAUUAUUGGAAAGAAAAAUAGUUCCUCUGUUAUUUUAAAAGUUUUUACUUUAUUUUUUUUAACUAUAAAGUUCUUAUAUAUUUUUAACGUUUUAAUUAUUAGAAACUAUUAUGUACAUUGUUUUUAUUUUACAUGGUUUAUUAAUAUAUAUAGUAUAAAUUUGCAUUCAUGUAUUAAUUAACUUAUCAAUUAAUCAAUAGUAAAAAUUCUCUCUGAUUUUCUGAUUAUUUAUGGCCAGUUUUUUUUUGUAUGUGUGCGUCUCUAAGCUCGUAAGUGAAAGUAAAUCAAUUUUUUAAUUGUUAAUUUAUGCCCAACUUCUUUAUGUAUGUGUGCGUUUCUAAGCUCGUAAGUGAAAGUAAAUCGAGUCUCACGAUAUCAUCUGUCUUUGUCAUACUCGUCUGGUUGAACAAGGACUAAUACUAGUUGUUGAGCAAAAUUAAUUUAUAAAUACUCUUAACAAGGUGUGAUAUUAUUUGUUUUGGGUAAAGUCUUUGUAAGGCUUCACACUAUUAAGAGAUUCUACACUUUAUAUGUAAUUUUUCAAUCUUUUCAGCUAUCAAUGUGGGAUUUUAUUUACCCAACUAACAAUUUUGUUAUUUGUUCUUACAUUUUGGUGUUAGCUUUGGCCUUUGUGUACUCCAUCAUAGGUUGAGGAAAGGGAUCAUAUAUAAUUGGAAAAAUACAAAUCAGAAUGGUAUUUUUGUUAGUAAUCCAAGGGAUUGGUUUACUUUUGGACAUGUUAUUUUUUUGGUUCUACUUAAGGUUAGUAAGGUCAUUUCAAUAUUAUUUUCUUCCUACUUCAAUCAACAGCAACUUCUAUUUUUCCUUAUAUGACAACGCAAUUCAAUCUAGCUACGUUGUUAUGUUAACCAACCCCAAAAACAGGACACCAUAUCUAGAUUGAUAAGCUUAAGUAAGUUUCGAUAUGACUCAUUUAUACUUCAAUUAAUCUAAAGUAAAACUUAUCCAUAUGUAUGAUCCAGCCAAAUUAUUUUAUCAAUAUAAUCGAAAUAUUAAAAACAUAUUUAGUAAUUAUGGAUAUCAUAGGUAUAGAUAUGUAUAUAUAUUAUACUAAAAUAUACAAAACCUAUACAAUUAUGACUAUUUGUAAAUUAGAUUAAUCAAAGACAUUGAACUGUAAUUAUUCCAAUCUAUACUUUAAACCCUUUUCACUUCAAAGCACUAUCCCAAUUCUAAACAGUUUGAGACAUGGUAAAAAAAAAUAAUUGAUUUUUUUUUUUUUAAGAUGGGGUGUAGUUAGGUGGAAUUUUCUUGGUUUUGUUCAAAUAAGUCUGCCUUUUGAAGCAUAGGCAUACUUGUUUCAUCUUUAUAUAUAUAUAUAUAAUAAUGAUGUUCUGGAUAACUUUUACACCUUAACUUGAUUAAUUAUGUGAGAUAUCUGUCAUUUUUCAUAGCAAUAUUAUAUUUAACUAUAUUCGCCCAAACUAAAACAGGUAGAAAUAACAUUUGAAUCUGUCAAACUGCAAUAAUGAAUUAUAUAUGGUGGAAGAUUCUUUGGGGCCCAACUGGCCCCACAGCUAAUAUUUUAACGGACGUCCAUGAAAAGUUUUAACAAAAUCACGUCGAAAUUCUAGAUCACCAAAAAUUCAUGGACUAUAUAGCACACGAUAAUCAGCAAAAUGGGGGGGGGGGUUACUUGCUCAAGGGCUCGUCUGACCUUGAAAAUGGGCUGGUUUGCCCGUGGGGACCAAUUGGCUCUAUAACUAAGGUCUUAACGGACGUCCAUGAAAAGUUAUUGCAAAAAAUCACGUUGGAGUUCCAUAUCACCAAAAAUCCAUGGACUAUAGCACAUGAAAAUUGGCAAAAUAAAGGGUUUACCUACUCUGGGCUCGUUUGACCUUGAAAAUGGGUUGGUUUGCCCGUGGGAACCAGCCGGCUCCAUAGCUAAGGUUUUAACGGAAAACCAUGAAAUUUUUUGGCAAAAGUCACGUCGGAAUUGCGGAUCACCAAAAAUCCAUGGACUAUAGUACACGAAAAUCGGCAAAAUGGGGGGGUUUACCUACUCUGGGGAUUGUUUGACCUUGAAAAUUUCCCGAUUUGCCCGUGUGGACCAACUGGCACCACAGCUAAGGUUUUAAUGGACGACCAUGAAAUUUUUUGGCAAAAGUCACGUCGGAAUUGCGGAUCACCAAAAGUUCAUGGACUAUAGUACACGAAAAUUGACAAAAUAGGGGGUUUACCUACUCUGGGGAUCGUUUGACCUUGAAAAUUGUCCGGUUUGCCCGUGUGGACCAACUGGCUCUAUAGCUAAGGUCUUAACGGACGUAUACAGAAAAUUUUGGCAAAAAUCACGUCAAAAUUUCGGAUCACCAAAAAUGCAUGGUCUAUAACACACGAAAAUCGGUAAAAUGAGGGUUUACCUGCUCUGGGGAUCAUUUGACCUUGAAAAUGGGUCGGUUUACUCGUGGGGACCAACUGGCUCUAUGCUAAGGUCUUAACGGACGUCUAUGAAAUUUUUUAGCAAAAAUCACGUCGAAAUUUCGGAUCACCAAAAUCCUAUGGACUAUAGCACACAAAAAUCGGCAAAAUAGGGGGUUUACCUGCUCUAGGCUCGUUUGACCUUGAAAAUGGGCCGAUUUUCCCGUGGGGACCAACUGGCUCCAUAGCUAAGGACUUCACGGACGUCCUUGACAAAUUUUGGCAAAAAUCACGUCGGAAUUCCGUAUCACCAAAAAUUUACGGACCAUAGCACACGAAAAUAGGCAAAAUGGGGGGUUUACCUGCUCUGGGCUCAUUUGACCUUGAAAAUGGGCCGGUUUGCUCGUGGGGACCAACUGGCUGCAUAGCUAAGGUCUUAACGGAUGUCCAUGAAAAUUUUUGGUAAAAAUCACGUAGGAAUUCCGGAUCACAAAAAAUCCAUGGAUUAUAGCACAUGAAAAUCGGCAAAAUGGGGGGUUUUACCUGCUCUGGGGUUCAUUUAACCUUGAAAAUGGGCCAAUUUUCCCGUGGGGACCAACUGGCUCUAUAGGUAAGGCUUAAUGGACGUCCAUGAAUUUUUUUUGUAAAAAUCAUGUCAAAAUUCUGUAUCUCCAAAAAUCCAUGGACUAUAGCACACAAAAAUCAGCAAAAUGGGCGGUUUACCUGCUCUGGGAAUCGUUUGAACUUGAAAAUGGGCCGGUUUACCCAUGGGGAUCAACUGUCUUCAUAGCUAAGGUCUUAACGGACGUCUUUAAAAAUUUUGGCAAAAUUACGUCGAAAUUCCAGAUCAUCAAAAAUCCAUGGAUUAUAGCACAAGAAAAUGGGUAAAAUGGGUUGGUUUGCCCGUGGGGACCAACUGGCUCCAUAGCUAAGGUCUUAACGGACGUCCAUGAAAUUUUUUAGAAAAAAUCAUGUCGAAAUUCUGGAUCACCAAAAAUUGAUGGACUAGCACACAAAAAUUGGCAAAAUGGGGGGUUUACCUACUCUGGGGAUCGUUUGACCUUGUAACUGGGCCAAUUUUCCUGUGGGACCAACUGGCUCCAUAACUAAGGUCUUAACGGACGUCCAUGGAAAUUUUUGGAAAAAAUCACAUCAGAAUUCCGGAUCACCAAAAAUUCAUGGAUUAUAGCUCACGAAAAUUGGCAAAAUGGGGGGUUUACCUGCUCUUGGGCUCAUUUGACGUUGAAAAUGAGCCGGUUUGCUCGUGGGGACCAACUGGCUCCAUAGCUAAGGUCUUAACGGACGUCCAUAAAUUUUUUUGGCAAAAAUCACGUCGGAAUUCCGGAUCACAUUCAUGACUAUUUGUAAAUUAGAUUGAUCAAAGACAUUGAACUGUAAUUAUUCCAAUCUAUUCUUUAAACCUUUUUCACUUCAAAGUACUAUCCCAAUUCUAAACAGGUUGAGACCUAGUAAAAAAAAUGAUUUUUUUUAAAGAUGGGGUGUAGUUAGGUGGAAUUUUCUUGGUUUUGUUCAAAUAAGUCUGCCUUUUGAAGCAUCGGCUAUUCUUGUUUCAUCUUUAUUUUAUUUUUCAUAAUAAUGGUGUUCUGGAUAACUUUCACACCUUGACUUGAUUAAUUAUGUGAGAUAUUUAUCUGAUCAUUUUUCAUCAGCAAUAUUUAACUAUAUUCGCCUAAACUAAAACAGGUAGAAAUAACAUUUGAAUCUGUCAAACUUCAAUAAUGAAUUAUAUAUGGUAGAAGAUUCUUUGGGGCCAUUAUGCAAUGAUAGUGGAACAUGAGAAUAUUUUUAUGAUUGGUAAAAAUAUCAUGGGAAUGGCGAAAAACUAGCUUUGAUAAGAAGAAUAUGAUGCUUUAUAACAUUAUCAAGGGAACAAAAGUCAUUUUUAUAUAUUUGAAGAAAAGAAAGUUUUCACAUUACAAUAAUUGGGAUGCCUAUAAAUGUGUGGUUCAAAAUGAUAGUGACAAGCCACAUAUUAUAUUGAAGCAUUAAUUAAUCAUAGUAAAGAAAGUUCAAUGUUAUUAUUAGGGGCAAUUUGUGCAAAGUAGAUAUGACCUAAGUUGCUUGAACGCAAAGGUAAUGUUAUAAUGUUUGUGAAAAAUUGAUAGAUCAUUAAAUCAUUAAACCUAUUACCUAUAUAAGAUUUAGUGCUAAUUACAAUCAUUUCUAUGUAGUGUAAGUGAUGUUGGAUUAGGUGGAUAUCAACUUAUCAAAGUGGACACCAAAUUUUUUAAAUUGCUUUCUCUAGUGUUACACUAACUUUAAUAAGUGGAAAUCCUUAGACAAUUGUUGAAGAUAUCUAUCAUAUUUGAUCAAAUAAAACAUAAGUUAUCAAUCAUAGAAUCAGAUAUAUACCUUUAAAUUCACGGGAGCGUUUGACUAUGUUUCAUUGUGAAAUUUGAUUUUUCUUUUCAAGUAAAAAAAGAUAAAUUGAAAUUAGAUAUUGUUAUCAACUUGUAUACCACUAGUUCGAAAGGCAUAAUUUCUUAAACUGACAUUCAAACUUAGCCUCCACUUACAAGUAAUUACUUCAACUUUUUCAUUAUGUAUGCAUAUUUAGACACCUUAUAAACUCGACUCAUUUCCACUAUACCAGCUAAACUCUCCAACAUAUGUACAAAAUAAUCAUCUAGUCACCUUCAAAAUUUAUUCAUUACAUCAGCAUCGAAUGUAAUGAGAUACAGAGACGAGUUGAGUAUUUAGUAGACCGUUGAAACCAAGUUGAGGUGUCCAUACCUAUACAACAAUUAUCACAGGUGACAUGCUUUCAAAUAAUUUUGAAGUAUUAAAAAUAGAUGAUUUAUUAAAAUAAGAUAUUUCUCACCAUAAGCAAUUUUCAAUUCUUUCGCAUCAAACGCACCCAUAUUUAGAAUGUUCUAUACUAUCACUCUCCAUAGACGGCAGCCAUCAUGUCAAUCACCACCCACCAGCACUUGCUGUUGUUAACCUUGCCAAAUAGAUAAUGACAAGUUGGCAUAUGAGAUAGGUGGUCUACGCCUAUCAACAUGAGUUGUGGUGCAAUGGUGGAAUUGCUCAAUCCUUAAUUAGAAAUUUCAGGUUUGAGUCUUGGGUAUGAAGAAAAUUCUAUUGGAAGCGUCACUCUCAAAUGAGUCCUGUGCUGUACAAUUCAGAUUUAAUUAAGGCUUUAAUGCAGACUCCGAACAGUGAGCGUGAGAAAAAAAGAGAGGUGGCCUAUGCCUAUUUCUCUUUGAGAUGUUGAUGCCUUGAUUUUGAAUGUCUUGUUUUUCAAUCCUCGUGCUUAUAUCUUUGAAUAUUCAUUACUUUCUCUAGAUGUGAAAACUACUCUUUCCGUUUCAAUUUGAAUAUUCAGAUUAUAAAGAAUAUUUUUUUUAUAUUUUACGUAACUUUAAUCGAAUACCAUAUAAUUUAAAAGUUCGUUUUACUUUUUUAAAUCAAAAUCAAAUAAAUAAAUUAAAACGAAAGGAGUGAUGGCUGAGAUGUCCUGUAAAAUGGUAUUGGUCUCUUUAGUGGGAUUUUGUUAUUUUGAUUUUAAAUUGACACAAGAAGCUAAACAAGCUUUGUCUUCUUAAUGAUUGGAUUUGAUUCAUCUUUUCAAUUUCAAUUGAGUCUGUCUCAAAAUUCAUAAUGUUAACUAUAUAAAUCCAGGUGAUCAUAUAUUACAUUGAUCUAAGAUGUAUAUUCAUAUCAUAUAUCGCGUUACUAAAUAUAAUUACAUUGUAUGAACACGCGAAGAAGAUGAUCAGAACAAGAGAAGACAUGUUACUAAACAACAACAUAAGAAAAAACAAAUUCUGUUAAGUGAUUGAUCCGCGUGUGAUAGUUGUCUUCUUAACCUUGGACUAUUGCUUCCUGCUAGAUUAUAUGAACUUGAAUAUGUAUACAAAUUAGUAUUCAAUGAGUUCCCAAACAUUCGCGCAUAAAAAAUUUCCCCUGUUGUCGUUCCACCAGGACUUAGCAUAUGUUCUGUAUUUGUAUAAUUUCGAUGAUGAUCAUGAGAUUGUUGGUAUAAUGGAGGCAUAUUAUUAUUGGGUAUUACUCCGUGACUCCUACAUCUCGGAGUAGGAGGUCUUUGUGGUAUGACUAUACCAAGAUUCAGGGCCUUGCCUGCUGUUUUUGUAGCUUGACCGCGACCAUAGAGUGGAAUCAAUGUUUUUUGUGAGACUUCAGCUUUGCAAACAGGGCAUUUUGGCUGUUGAUUAUCGAUGUUCUCUGAUGAAAUGGUCUUAAUAUGUAUCCAUUUGUAGAUGCAAGGCCAACAAUAGAGGUGACCACAUAAUGUAACAACAGGAUCAUGUACAACAUCCAGGCAAAUGUUGCACUCGAAACCUCCAGGUGAAUUUUCUUCAAGUUUAUCAAGAUCAAUUGUCUUACAUUUUUCAAAGGAAAUAUCGCGUUGAUCAAAAAUAGUUUCUGGUAUUUGGUCUUGAAAAAUUUGUUCUAAGGCCAUAUUUGCUUCUUGGUAUUGAUUUAUUUUGGUAAUGGCAAGAUGAAUGGUUAGAAUUCAGGUUUUUAAUACAAUUAGAAGUGAGUAUUUAUAAGGACAAGAAUAGUAGUUUGCAAACAAUGAUUCUUAAGGUUGUCACUUGUCAACAUCACAUCAUGUUAAAGGGGCAUGGCCAAAAAGAAAAGGCCCUACACAUUAUUAAACAACACUAUAUCAUAUUACUCAACUCAGUUUUGAUUUAUGGGUACUGUUUGAUUUGAUAUAACAUUUAAUAAGAAAAUGAAAACUUUUAAAAUAUGUACUGUAUUAAAGAUAAAAAAUAAAUUUUAAAUUUUUAGAUCCUAGAAAUGAUAUUCUUUUUAUAUUAAGACUACAACAAAUGUCUUACAUAAAUUAAGACAGGUGAACUAUCAAACACAUCAUAAUUAAGUGAUUUAAUGAAGUCAAAAAUAAAUAUUAAUGGAUCAUGGUUAAGUGAGAGGAGUUUUGUGCAAACACGUCUUUUAUCUAUCUAUUUGAUUUAAACAAGCAUAAGUUUUAUCAUAUUAGAAAUAUGAUUAGGACCUUAUAUUAGGCCCCAUGAUAAGAAUCUUAAUCUAGAAAAUAACUUUUAGUCAAUAAAAAGUAGCACUAGUUGCGUACAAGGAGCUACCACUUGAUGACCUUCCACACAGCCACAUCCCAUAAGUUCAAUAGUUUUCACACUAUAAGAACUAGAUGUUUUUUUCCGAGUGAAUCAAUAAAAAUUUUAUGUUAUAAAACAUGAUUUUUUUCAUUUUGAUUUUAUUAAACUAAUUCACUAAGAAAACCCAUAACGAAACAUAAGUUCUCAUUGAAAUACUGGAAAUAGUCACUUGGAAAUUUAUGAGUUUUAGGAAAUUAUGCAUCAAAACUUAGAAAGACGCGGCUCAUAUAGAAAUUUGUUGUUAAAUCAUAAUAUAUACUUUUACAUCUGAAUAUCUUUAUUGAUUUGGUUAAAAUUAUAAUUAAAAAAAUUACAAUACAAUAUAUAUAGAUUCACAUAAAUUUAAUACUGUAAGUUCAAUUAUUAUUAUGAUAUAUUAAUCUAAAAUUAUUAUAGAAGCUUCUAAACUCUAAAUUCAGAUCCAACUAAGGAGUGAAUAUACAUAGUGGGGGUCUGGGGGAUGGGAGAAAACAUAUGGACGGUGUGACAAAUAAAUAAAAGAAAUACUCCGUCCAUUCCAUUUGACUUAGUAUUGUUUGACUUAAUACGAUGUAUAAGAGAAAAAAAAGAUUUUAGAAAAUUAUAGGCUAAAACAAUUUUUAUAUAUUUAUAUAAUUGUAAAUCAUUUCAUUAAUUAAGGGUAGAUGGAGAAUUUUAAGUUUAAUUAUUUUCAAUUACAAUAAAAUGACAUUUUUAAAGACGGAUUAUGAGAAUAGAGUGCCACGUAAUAUAAAACGAGAAAAUACUACUCCCUCCUUCCCAUUUUAUAUGUUACCUUUUUACUUUACAUUUACAUUAAGAAAUAAUGUAACUUUACCCUUCUACCCUUAUUUAAUGUUUUCUUAAGUUAACUUUAUAACUCCCUCCGUCCCAUUUUAUAUGUCAUCUCUUUCUAUAAAUAGUUGGACCACAAUACUUGUCAUUUUAUAAAAUUUAUGUAUAAAUUACCAUAUUUUACCUAUUAUAUCCUUGAUAGAGUAGUUAAUUAAUCUUGAAAAUAUAUUCAUCAUUUAUUAUAAAUUGACUUAAGAAAAUAUUAAAUAAGAAUAGAAAGAUAAAAUUACAUCAUUCUUCAACAAGUGGUAUCAGAGCCAGGUUAAUAAGAGCGAGGUAGUAACUCAAAAGAGAUCCUACAAGCUACCGUCGGAGGCUACAAAUCGCGAGGCACUAAUUAAUGAUGGAUUUUGCAAGCACUCUCAAUAGCGUUGAGANNNNNNNNNNNNNNNNNNNNNNNNNNNNNNNNNNNNNNNNNNNNNNNNNNNNNNNNNNNNNNNNNNNNNNNNNNNNNNNNNNNNNNNNNNNNNNNNNNNNNNNNNNNNNNNNNNNNNNNNNNNNNNNNNNNNNNNNNNNNNNNNNNNNNNNNNNNNNNNNNNNNNNNNNNNNNNNNNNNNNNNNNNNNNNNNNNNNNNNNNNNNNNNNNNNNNNNNNNNNNNNNNNNNNNNNNNNNNNNNNNNNNNNNNNNNNNNNNNNNNNNNNNNNNNNNNNNNNNNNNNNNNNNNNNNNNNNNNNNNNNNNNNNNNNNNNNNNNNNNNNNNNNNNNNNNNNNNNNNNNNNNNNNNNNNNNNNNNNNNNNNNNNNNNNNNNNNNNNNNNNNNNNNNNNNNNNNNNNNNNNNNNNNNNNNNNNNNNNNNNNNNNNNNNNNNNNNNNNNNNNNNNNNNNNNNNNNNNNNNNNNNNNNNNNNNNNNNNNNNNNNNNNNNNNNNNNNNNNNNNNNNNNNNNNNNNNNNNNNNNNNNNNNNNNNNNNNNNNNNNNNNNNNNNNNNNNNNNNNNNNNNNNNNNNNNNNNNNNNNNNNNNNNNNNNNNNNNNNNNNNNNNNNNNNNNNNNNNNNNNNNNNNNNNNNNNNNNNNNNNNNNNNNNNNNNNNNNNNNNNNNNNNNNNNNNNNNNNNNNNNNNNNNNNNNNNNNNNNNNNNNNNNNNNNNNNNNNNNNNNNNNNNNNNNNNNNNNNNNNNNNNNNNNNNNNNNNNNNNNNNNNNNNNNNNNNNNNNNNNNNNNNNNNNNNNNNNNNNNNNNNNNNNNNNNNNNNNNNNNNNNNNNNNNNNNNNNNNNNNNNNNNNNNNNNNNNNNNNNNNNNNNNNNNNNNNNNNNNNNNNNNNNNNNNNNNNNNNNNNNNNNNNNNNNNNNNNNNNNNNNNNNNNNNNNNNNNNNNNNNNNNNNNNNNNNNNNNNNNNNNNNNNNNNNNNNNNNNNNNNNNNNNNNNNNNNNNNNNNNNNNNNNNNNNNNNNNNNNNNNNNNNNNNNNNNNNNNNNNNNNNNNNNNNNNNNNNNNNNNNNNNNNNNNNNNNNNNNNNNNNNNNNNNNNNNNNNNNNNNNNNNNNNNNNNNNNNNNNNNNNNNNNNNNNNNNNNNNNNNNNNNNNNNNNNNNNNNNNNNNNNNNNNNNNNNNNNNNNNNNNNNNNNNNNNNNNNNNNNNNNNNNNNNNNNNNNNNNNNNNNNNNNNNNNNNNNNNNNNNNNNNNNNNNNNNNNNNNNNNNNNNNNNNNNNNNNNNNNNNNNNNNNNNNNNNNNNNNNNNNNNNNNNNNNNNNNNNNNNNNNNNNNNNNNNNNNNNNNNNNNNNNNNNNNNNNNNNNNNNNNNNNNNNNNNNNNNNNNNNNNNNNNNNNNNNNNNNNNNNNNNNNNNNNNNNNNNNNNNNNNNNNNNNNNNNNNNNNNNNNNNNNNNNNNNNNNNNNNNNNNNNNNNNNNNNNNNNNNNNNNNNNNNNNNNNNAAGCUUGAGAUAAGAGGAGACGUUAUAUGUGCUGGAUGUCAAUAUGGGAAAGCACAUCAACUUCCCUAUGGAGAAUCAAAGUAUCAAGCGNNNNNNNNNNNNNNNNNNNNNNNNNNNNNNNNNNNNNNNNNNNNNNNNNNNNNNNNNNNNNNNNNNNNNNNNGACCAGUGAAGCAGUCCUCCAUCAGCGGUUACCGUUACAUGGUAACAUUCAGUGAUGACUUCUCAAGGUACGUAUGGAUUUACUUCAUAAAAGAGAAAUUUGAAGUAUUUGAGAAGUUUAAAGAGUUUCAAUAUACUGUGGAGAAUGAUAUUGGAAGAAAAAUCAAAUGUCUCCGUACGGACAAUGGGGGAGAAUACACGUCACGAGAGUUCAAUGAAUAUCUUAAAGAGAAGUUGAUAAGACGACAACUAACUUGUCCAAAUACACCACAACAAAAUGGAGUGGCUGAAAGAAAAAAUAGACAUCUGGCGGAGAUAUGCAGAAGUAUGUUGCAUAGUAUGAAUGUACCAGCAAGGUUUUGGGCAGAAUGCAUGAAGACUGUUGUCCACAUCAUCAACAGGCUGCCGCAGGCAAGAUUGAGAUUUAUCUCACCAUUUGAGAAACUUAAAAAAAUAGAUUCCUACUGUAAGCCACUUUCGAGUUUUUGGUUGUGUGUGCUAUGUGUUCGUGCCAGAUCAUCUCCGCAACAAGUUUGAUAAGAAAGCUGUUCGUUGCAUCUUUGUUGGAUACGAUGAACAAAGAAAAGGAUGGAAGUGUUGUGACCCUACCACAAAUCGGACAUAUGUGUCAAGAAAUGUGGUAUUUGAUGAAGCAUCAUCUUGGUGGUCCAAAGAAGUCUCCCUGCCAGACUCAAUAGCUCUUGAGCAAAAGCUGCAAGAUAAGCUCAAUGAAGUAGAACAAGGGAACAAGAUAGACUCUAACCAGGAGGUAUCUCCACAAAAGGAAAAGAAAAGCUUACCACAAACUGGAGCUUGUGAAACACCAGAUGAGUUGCAAGAAGAAGUCCAAGAAGAGUCACAAUCGCAACUGAGGAGGUCUACACGACUGAAGCGUCCAAACAUCAAGUACAUAGAUGCAGCAUUAACCGAGGUGGUUAACAUCAAAGAGGCUGCUACCUUUGAAGAAGCUUCAAAGAGUAGGGAUCGGAAUAAUCCGACGAAGGUGGAGAUCCCCAAAGGGUAUGGACGUUAUGAUGCUUGCAAAGUUUCAGGAAUCGCUCACAAAAGACGCAAAGAAAAAAUUAAGUUGGUGUUGAGGGGGAGUGUUAAGAAUUCAUCACCAACUUAAUUCUUUACUUAAGAUAAAUCAAGAAAAAUCUAGAAUAUUCCGGAGGUGUAGAGAAUUGAAGGAAGAUCUCUAGAAUGAGUAUUCUAGAAAGAAUAGUCUAGAAAUGUUCUAGAAAGAAUAGUUCUAGAAAAAGAUAGUUAGGAAUAUUCUAGAAUAGAGUAGUAUGUAUCUCUCUAGAUUCUUCCAUCACCACCUAUAAAUAGAGGUGGUCCAUUUGAGUUGUAAGCAACCAAGCAAGAAACCAAGCAAGAAAUAAGAGAGCAAACAAGAGUGAGUGCUUAAGUCAAAUAGUGUUGCUGAAGCAAGCAACAAGUGUGAUCAAGAUUGUAAGACCGAAGCGGGUCCUUACUUUGAUAUAAUAAAAUUCAAGUUGUGAGAAAUCGAUUGUGCCCGUCGUCUCCAAAACAAUAAUAUUCAACACUCAUCCCCAAUUCUAGAGACUAAGUUUCUCAUCUUCAUUCUUAUCUCUAUCCUUACUUGUUAUUUCAAUAUUUCCAUUGUAAUUAGAUAGUUUGAUUAUUCCAAUUAGAAUAUUAAAGUUGUAAUAGUGUUCCAGUGCUCUUAUUAAUAGUGUGAGAAUUUUGGUUUGUUACAUCAGACGUUCUCUUUUCGAAUAAUUGAACGUCUCAUAUUAUUUGCUAAUGAAAAAUAUCAUGAGUAGGACCCAAAAAGAUAGUAGUACCAGAUAACAAACAAAAAAAUACUGUACAGUCUAAAAAUAAGUAUAGAAUAGCUUGAACUUUUGGGCCGUUGUAUAAAACACCCAGAAAGGGAGACAGGGGAGUCACUGGUCCACUUAAUUAUUACAUGUAGUAAAAUUAUUAGUUAUGUACUAGCAAUACUGGAAGUAUUAUUUCAUGGCAUAUAUUGGUGACUAAGAUAAGUGAUAAGCAUAAUAAAUAAUUUAGAAGUAGGUGGAUUCGAGUCAUCAACGAGCUCCCGGGGAGGAAUGAAAAAACUCUUAAUAAUAACUACAACAUGGAGUGGCCACUGCUAGCAUAGGUGAUAUCCUACGAAUAAUGAUGCCACUGCCUUCCGUCAUAUCCAAAUCCUCCGGUUUUAACACUUCUGGUAAUGCUAAAUUGAACUUGUGCACAAUCCUUGCUAAUGCUAGCUCAAUUACCACAAUAGCAAAACCAGUUCCUGGGCAGCCCCUUCUCCUAAAAUUGUCAACUUUUUAUAUUUUGGCUUACUUGGAAGCAAGUCUAUCCUCUCCUAUCCAAUCAAUUAGGGUGGCCAUUAAUCAGAUAUUAUUAGGCUAAAGAUAACAUAUUGCUCCCUCCGUUUUUAAUUAUUUAUCCAUUUUUUUAGUUAUUCCUAAUUACUUGUCUAUUUUGACAAAUCAAGAAAGAAUAAUUUUUUUUACCUAUUAUACCGUCAAUUUAUUACUUUGAAAAAAGUAGAACUUUUUGAAAAUCUUGAGUUUUUAAUUCAUCCACUUCAUAAUUAAUAUGGGUAAAAUGGUAAACUCACUAUUUCAAUAAUUGUUUUCUUAAUAAGUGUGCCAAUUUAAAAAUGGAUAAGUAAUUAGGGAUAGAGAAAGUAUAUCGAAAUAAUAUAAUCAGAUAUUAUGCUAAAGAUGAUUAACAAAACUUUGAACAAUUAUAAAUAAGAUAGCAAAAAAAUCGAUUAGAUAAUACUUAGCAAAUUAACACGGUUCAACGAUUAGUGAUGGAAUCUGAAUAUGAUUCGGGAUUUUCACUAUUAAUGAAAUUCAAAAGGCAUAAUACAUAAAUGUGCCCUUUAACUUGACUUCAUUUUAUGUUUAUGUCGUUCAAUUUUGGGUAUGCACAUAAACUUGUAUAAAGUUGAACAACUAGCCACAUGAGUUCUACACGACACAAUACAUUUAAGACACCACGUAGGAUAAAAAAUGACAUGUAGGAUACCAUAUAGGACAUGUGUGUCUGUUUCUUCAACUUUAUACAAAUUUAAAUGUCUACUUGUGCACACCCGAAGUUGAAGGGCAUAAAUGUGAUUUGAAGCCAAGUUAAAUGGUAUAUUUAUGUAUUAUGCCUAUUCAAAAUAUGAAUAAGUAAACAUACAAAUUAGCUGACUACAAUAAUACAAAGAUAAAAAAACAAUUUUAAUUAUAUGUAUAAAUAGUAUAAUUUUCCAUCAAAGGUGGUUCAUUUGAUUCCUCACUUCUUUCCCUCAUUUAAAACUAUGCAAUAUGAGACUUUCAUGUCACAUGGAAUCCUUCUCUUUUUUUUUUUUGGAAAUCUUAAUAGCUCAGUUAACUAACUGACUAUUUGAAUUCUCGAUUCCCCAUACUGUAAUCCUCUACCCCAAUUUUUUUCAUUACCUUCCUCACAUAUGUAUAAGACCGAAUCCAAAGAACUAAGAUGAGAGAAUUUUGGGAGAGCCGCCACUCCAACUACUGCCAUGUAUUAUCCAUACUAGAUCUGACCAUCUGUCCAUCCUACCCUCCUCUACGUUCUUGACAACCCAUUUUUGUCUUAGUCAAGUCUUUUAGUGGCACAUUUUGACCUUCUUUUCCAUUACUUAGAAAAAGUGAGCUAUUAUUCAGAUACAAAAUACUAUCAUUAUCGCCUAGAAAAUUAGACAUUCAACCCGUAAUCACAAUGAUCCAAUUACAAAAGCUCUGAACCCCCUAGGUCUAGACUGGCUCUGGCCCCUGGUUUUAUCACUUGACCUUCACAUGAGUAAACUCGUUGAUAUAGAGGAUUACAGUAUCGAUUUCUUUAAAAGAAAAAAACCUUAAUUUAUAAAAGUUCAAAAGAUUUUAAUUCAAUGUUUGUAAGUAAAAAAACAUAUUUCAUAAAACGGUUGCAAAUCACAUCGAAUAAGUUCCAUUGAUUGGUGUAUGGUUCUCAUAAGGGAAGUAACAGCAGCAUAAGCCAUAUAUCCAAAAAAUAGGACUAUCUCUCACUCUCAGUAUGAAAAUGGACAAAUUAAUUGCCACAAGUUAUGAAAAUGGCUAGUCCUCAGAACACCUUAACUACUUGCUGCAGAAUAAAAAAAAGACGCAAAAAAUGGAAAAUAAUAUGUUAGAUGUCCCAUAAUUAAGGAACAAGAGAACAUUAUAGUAAGAAUGAGCAUGCAGGUAUAAGAACUUACUCAUUAUUGCGGCAAGAAGCAACUUCUUUCUCAAAGUCAUCAUCAUCAUCAUCUUCAUCUGUUGUUACAGUAUCAAAUACCAAUUUCUCGAGCUGAUAUAAGUAGCGAAAAUCAUACAGGUCCUUGUGAUUGCGAAAGUCCUCUGGGACGCCAAAUACUUUCAACUUCUUUAAAUUGGGAAAUAGUCUAAAAAAAGACCCUGUACAAUACCAAGGAUUCAAUUGAUUGAGGCAUUGCAAACUUUUCAAAACCAAUCUGUUCUCUGUAGGCUCAUGACUCUGCAAGUAAUUCCAGCCCAUACACAGCUUCCUCAAUUGUGGCAUUGUCAAAAUUUCCGAUGGUAAUAUGAAAGGAUAAGCACAAUCACGAAACGGAAAGUUAAACUUAAAAGUUUGUAGAUAGCAUAGGCUUGAUAUCGAUAGAGGAAUGUCUAUUAUUGAUGAGGGAACAGCUUUUAACGAUCCUCGAUACUGCUUUAAGCAAGGAUAAAAACACAAAGAUAGGUAUCUCAAAUGAAUUAGAGAAAGUACUCCACUGGGAAAAAUUGGGUAUAUAUUCAAACCAAGAUCUAGUACUCUUACUAGCUUGAAAGACAAUUCCAGUGUGAAGCAUUUCAAUCCACCCAACAUGAUAAUAGAAUGAGCCUCACUGUUACGACACCAAGCCAAUUCUUCCUUCUUAUAGAUACUGAUCCGACUUCGACUCUUAAAGGAACACUGCAUGGAUUGUGCACAUGAAUUUUGAUCACUCUUUCCUCUGAUAACAUUCACAAAAUUCAUGUUUCGAGCUUCCCUCAAACAGAGUUCACGGAUCACAUCAUGCAUUCCACAUCUCUCUAUUUCCCCAUCAAAACUCAAAUUGUGGAUAGAAAUUAGACUUCUAUCUACAAGUUCGUUUAUACAUGUUUCUGCCACCUCUUCUAUGCUUUUUCCUUCUUCUUCAUUCAAAAACCCCUCUACGGCCCAUAACUCAACAAGUGCAUUUACAUAAAUCCGUUCAUCCUCUGCGAAAAUUGCAAAAUACAGAAAACACGGUUUUAGGUGAGAAGGCAAGUGAUGGUAACUCAAAGCCAACACUCUCAUGCAUUUUGCUUCAAGAUCUCUGCUUACCACCGAACUUACAUUCUCCGCAACAUUUUGCCACUCAUCCAAUGUUUUACUGAUUUUGGAGAGAAGUCCAGCAAUCAAAGUAAUUUCUAGAGGUAACCCUCCACAUUUUAAUGCAAUUUGUUUCCCAAUAUUUUCAAAUUCAGGAGAAUAAGAACCUUCUUUUUCAAAGAUCUUUUUGUGUAGUAAAUUCCAACUUUCGUCAAAAUUCAUGAGGCGCAUNNNNNNNNNNNNNNNNNNNNNNNNNNNNNNNNNNNNNNNNNNNNNNNNNNNNNNNNNNNNNNNNNNNNNNNNNNNNNNNNNNNNNNNNNNNNNNNNNNNNNNNNNNNNNNNNNNNNNNNNNNNNNNNNNNNNNNNNNNNNNNNNNNNNNNNNNNNNNNNNNNNNNNNNNNNNNNNNNNNNNNNNNNNNNNNNNNNNNNNNNNNNNNNNNNNNNNNNNNNNNNNNNNNNNNNNNNNNNNNNNNNNNNNNNNNNNNNNNNNNNNNNNNNNNNNNNNNNNNNNNNNNNNNNNNNNNNNNNNNNNNNNNNNNNNNNNNNNNNNNNNNNNNCAUGUUCAGGUAAACUGACAAGUGAGCUAGUUUGUGGUUUUAGAUCUUUCAUGCUGUCCGAUGCUGCCAUCCACUGUUUCACGGUGGAAUCAAUGUAUUCUAGUGCUUGUUCCAAGACGAAAAAAAUCUCCCACAUAGCCCUGCUUCUUUCCUCCAAAUUCUGUGCUAAAAAAACAUUUCUUGAUUCCGAGUCAACCAUAUCUUCUGUUGUGUAUGCUACCUCUGCGAUUUCAACUUCCAAGAUUGUUAACCCCUCAUGAUCGCCCAUUAUAUUGCAGGAUUUCUCCAGAAUAGCUCUCAAAGAUUUGAGCUUUUCAUAAAACGGUUGCAAAUCACAUCCAGUAAGUUCCAUUGAUUGAUGUAUGGUUCUCAUAAGGGAAGUAACAGCAGCAUAAGCCAUAUAUCCAAAAAAUAGAAAUAUCUCUCAGUAUGAAAAUGGACAAAUUGCCACAAGUUAUGUAAUUUUUCAGUUUUUAAGAAAACAGAAAAUGCAAAGUUCUUUCUUUUACUAGCUAUUUCCAUCACAUUUCCAGCUAGGUCCACCAACCUUAUCAUCAUGUAGACAAAAGCAGAGACCAAAGUUAAAAAAAAGUAGAAAAAUUUGUGAUCAUUCAUUAUUAGACCGUACACAUAUCUAUUCAUGAAUAUAAGUAUGCUUCUUACAUACAAGAGAUUGAUGAUUUUAAUUACAUUGAAAGCAACUUAGUAGAAUUUUCCAAAUCAAAGAGAGAAAUAUUAAGAUCCAAGUAGGAAUUUCUCUAUUCCUAGUUCGAUUCAAUUAACCAAGCAUAAAUAUCUCUUAAUAUACAUGAGAAGUUUAGACUCUAAAAGUCAAAUCAACAAAAUAUUUAUGGGCUAACACAUGAAAAACUAUUGAGAAAAUCGCCUAAUUUCUGUAAAUUGGCCCUUAAAUCUCCAAAAUGAACUCUAAAAAUUGUCAGACUGUACGUAUUGCUCCCCAACUCCCUACUGAGGGUUCUGUAAAGAUUUCGAUUAGAAUUCGUCCGUAAGUCAUAUCACCAAUAUAUUAAUGACUAACACACACGAAAAACUGAGAAAAUUGUCUAAUUUCUUGAAAUUGGCCCCUAAAUGCCUAAAAUGGACUCUAAAAGUUGUGAGACUGUACGUACUGCUCCCCCGACUCCCUACAGAGGGUUUCGUAAAUGUGUAGCAAAGAAAUCGUCUGGAAGUCAUAUCACUAUAAUAUUAAUGGGCUAACACACACAAACCACUGAGAAAGUCGCGUAUUCCUGUAAAUUGGCCCCUAAAUGCCCAAAAUGAACUCUAAAAUUGUGAGACUAUGUACUGCUCCACUAACUCCCUAUGGAGGGUUCCGUAAAGAUUUCACAAAGAAAUUAUUCGGAAGACAUAUCACCAAAAUAUUUAUGGGCUAAUACAUUUUUAUUUGUCCAUUUGAUUUGACAUAUCUUUCAAGUACUUUGAUCUGGUUAUACUUUUUUUUUAUUGCUAAAAAUAAAUAUCCACUUUUACUUGUUCAUUCUACAAAACAAAGACAAUAUUUUAUUGCUUGAUUCAGAUAUAAAAUUUGAGUAGGCUAAUUUACAAACCAUCUGUAGUCAUCCUGCCCCUAUGCUAUAACAUUUGAAAGAAAGAGGUCAUCAUCAUCAUAUUCAUCAUCGUUGUCAUCUUCAUCAUCAUCUUCAUCAUCGUUGUCAUCUUCAUCAUCAUCUUCAUCUUCUUCAUCAUUAUCAUCAUCAUCAUCAUGAUCGUCAUCGUCACUUGUUUCCUCACUGUUGAAAAAGCCAGCAACAAAAGAUGAAAAAUGAAAUGUUAUGCAAGUAUAACAAGUUACACAAUUACUAUAUUGGAAGGAUUUAAAUCAUAUACAAUGACAACGUAUGAACUUUUACACUAUAGGUGCCAUUUAACUGCUUAUUAAAGCAAUUUAUAAUUAUUUUAUUACUAGUUCUGGACACGUGCUUUGCAUGUGUAUAUUACACGUUUAGUCACGAUUGUAAGAGGGUGUACACCAGGAUCAUUCGAAGAGCAAAGUCGUGUGAGCCUUACAGAUAUUCUUGACGUACUCCUAUUAAAAUCUGUAUCAUAUUCGUAACUUUUUGAAUGAGGUUCACCUUUUUCCUCAUUGUACUUUGUACAUGGAUGUUGUCCAUCACAAUAUCCCCUUUUUCAAAUUUCAUAGCUGAACUACUAGGUGUACGAGUUCCUACCAGAACUACUACCAACUAUUUAUCAAAACACACAUCAACUAUAUAUGAGUUGUUCCCUUUUACUAGUGGUGACAAAUAGGUGGAUUUGGACGGGACUGAAAAUGGAUUGAGCAACAUGGUCGUAACUCACUUAAUCUCUUAAAGCCAGAAAACUUUAAAGAGUUAAUUGAAAUAAACUUAAUGACUAUCCUACUUGAAGUAUCACCGUCGUUCAGGUAAGAAAAAGGAAGUAUAUCAAGGAAGAAGAUGUCUUACAAAGCCUGAUGGAUAUGGACCUCGAUAGAACCUCCAUAGUUGUCUUGAAUGUCCUGUUGAAUCUGCUUUGCGGAAUUCCCAACAGAUUCUGGGCAGUUUCUUAUAUAGAUUAGAGCAAGUGUGGUUAUAUCUGCAAAAUCUUGAGGGAUUGAGUCCAAAAACCUGCAACUAUCAAGAAAUAGUCGUUCAAGGCACGGAAAGUGAUCACAACUAGCUCUCCAGUACUGAAUAUGUGAUCUUUUAAGUAACAAGAACUUCAAAAAAGGAAACCCUUCCUCAGCUACUUCCCACUCCCUGCCUCUGCAUACACCCUGUGUUAGUUCAAGAAGUUCAAGUUUGGGCAAUUUUCCGACAACAAUGCUUAAAUCCUUCCAUGACAAGAAGAAAUUUCCUGUAAAAGUUAAAUUCUUAAGGUUUCGUGGAAAAGCAUCUGGAGGAGGUAAGAUCAAAGAUGGAACAACUUCUACAACAAGUGGAUUCCUUGUCUGAAAACACAUUCUCCUCUCCAAAAAGUAAGCAUUAUUUUGAGGAGGAAGACAAAAUGCUAGUUCCUCGAGAUGAUCUAAGUAGCGAAAAUCAUAGAGGUCUUUGUGACUAUGGAAGUCUUGUGGGAUGCCACGUACUUGCAACUCCUUUAAAUUGGGAAAUAGUCUAAAGAAAGAUGCAGUACAAUAGCUAGGAUUCCAUCCAAACAGAGAAUGUAAAUUUUUCAUAACCAAACUUUUCUCUGUAAGCUCAUGAUAUCGCAAGUAAUUCCGAUCCAAAUGAAGGUGCCUCAACUGUGGCAUUGUCAAAAUAUCUGAUGGUAAUAUCAAAGCAUGUUUACGAAGAUUAAUGACGAGUGGAAGGUAAAGUACCAAACUUUGCAGAUAGCAUAGGUUUGAUAUGGAUGUAGGAAUGUCUACUCUUGAUGAGAGAACAUCUUCUUCGGAUCCUAGAUAUUGCUCAACGUUAGGAUAAAUACGCAAAGCUAGGUGUCUUAAGUGAAUCAAAUAAAGUAUUUCACGGGGAAAAGUUAGACAGAUAUUAUCAGCAAGAUCUAGAACUCUUACUAGCUUGAACGGCAAGUACUCCCUCAUGCAACAUCGGAAUCUACCAAAUAAGAUAACAGAAUGAGCUUCACUGUUAAGGCACCUAACAUACUCUUUCUUAUUAUGGAUGCUGAUUCGACUUCGACUCUUAGACAAACACUGCAUGGAUUUCACAUAUGAAUUUUGAUCAUUCUUUCUUCUGAGAACAUUCACAAAAUUCAUGUUACGAGCUUCCAUCAAACAGAGUUCACGAGUCAUAUCAUGAAUUCCACAACACUUAAUUUUUCCAUCAAAAGUAGUACUUUUAAUGGAAAUUAAACUUCUAUCAAUAAGAUCUUGUAGGUACUUUUCUGCCACUUCUUCUAUGCUUUUCAUCUCUUCUACCUUCAAAAAUCCCUCUGUUUCCCACAAUAUCAUAAGUUUAUUGACAAAAAUCAGUUUAUCCUCUGGGAAGAUUGCGAAAUAUAAAAAGCAUGGUUUUAGGUGGUGAGGCAAGUAAUGGUAACUCAUUGCCAACACCCUCAUGCAUUGGACACCAACAUCUGUGCUUACUGCUGAACUUACAUUUUCAGCAACACUUUGCCACUCACUCAAUGCUUUGUCAAUUUUAGUGAGAAGUCCCGCGAUCACAACAAUUGCUAGAGGCAAUCCUCCGCAUUUCAAUGCAAUUUGCUUUCCAAGUUGUUCAUAUUCAGGGGAGAAAGAGUCUUUCGUAAAGACUUUUUCAUAUAAUAAAUUCCAACUUUCGUCAAAAUUCAUGAGGCGCAUGUGAUGAGGAAGCUUACCUGAGCUAGCAUAUUCAGCCACUUCCACAUUCCGAGUAGUCAAGAGUAUUCGGCUUCCAUUAUGAAAGUCUGGGAAACAUAUUUGUAUAUCAUCCCAAGCUUUUGUAGUCCAUAUGUCAUCAAUGACUACCAAAUAUCUCUUGCCUUUUAGAAGCUUUUGCAGUCGAUCUGCUAGUUGCCCGUCAUGUAGCUGAUCAUAAGGUUUAUCACUUAUACAAGAAAGAAGGUCUAGGAAAACAUUUCUCACACAAUACUCUUGUGAAACAGUAGCUUUUGCACGUAUGUCAAAGCGAUACAUCAUGCAUGGAUCGUUGUAGAGUUUUGUUGCCAAAGUUGUCUUGCCAAUGCCUCCCAUACCUACAAUUGAUACAACUUCUAGUUCUCUUUCUCCUCUAGCAAGUUGAUCCAGCAUCAUCUUGAAUUCAUUUUCAUAGCCAACCAUUAUAACCUCGGACCGCUCAACAGCAAGUUCAGGUAUCUUGGAUAGACAGAAAUUUUGUGCUUUGAAAUCUUUAAUGUUGUUGUACCAGUCCCAUAUUGCCAACCACUGCAUCAUGAAGGAAUCAAUACAUUCUACCUCUUGUUCCAAGGAACAACAGAGUUCCCAGAAAGCUUUGCUUCGUGUAAUUACAGUUUCUGCAGAAGAAACUUUUCUUGAUUUCGAAUCAACCAUGUCUUCUGCUUUGAAUGCUACCUCCGUGAUUUCAACUUCCAAGGUUGUUAACCCCUCAUGAUCGCCCGUUAUAUUGCAGGAUUUCUCUAGAAUAGCUCUCAAAGAUUCGAGCUUUUCAUAAAACGGUUGCAAAUCACAUCCAUUAAGUUCCAUUGAUUGGUGUAUGGUUCUCAUAAGGGAAGUAACAGCAGCAUAAGCCAUAUAUCCAAAAAAUAGGAAUCUCUCACUCUCAGUAUGAAAAUGGACAAAUUAAUUGCCACAAGUUAUGUAAUCUUUCUUUUACUAACUAUUUCCAUCACAUUUCUAGCUAGGUCCACUAACAGGAUAAAGUAGAAAGAUGUGAGGUCACUAACCUUAUCAUCAUGAAGACAAAAGAAGAGACCAAAGUUAAAAAAAAAAAAAGACGAAAAAGUAGAAAAAAUUGUGAUCAUUCAUUAUUAGACCCUACACUAAUCUCUUCAGAAAAAUAAAAUAAAAUUUUAGUUUAAAUAAAGGAAUUCAAGCUGUAUAUUGAUAACGUCCAAUUCAAAUUCAAGUGUAGUACGGUCUAGCAAUAAUAAACUCAACAAAAGUUGGAGUCGAGGAGUACGCUUGUGUCAAGGUGACAGAGAGUGUGCGAAUUUGCUAACAAACAAAAGGUCUUUCUUUUAGCUAGGUCCAUAAUCCAUGUAGUGCUCUAUACUCUCUAGUCUCUAUCAACCAGCUCAAGUUUAAGGGUGUGUUUGGUAUGGAGGAAACAUUUUCUCUAGAAUAGGGAGAGAUUUGUGCAUAAACAAGGAAGAAUCUCUCAGUAUAACAGUGAAUGGGUAUUUUUUUAAGAUUUGCUUCUUUUGUGUAUGACUUUUGUAAGAAACAUUCUGGUAAAAGUUAAAAAAAAUGAUCUUGUGGAAUAGCCACAGUGAAUUCCUUAAUAUUCGAGUAGAAAAAGCCAGAGAGGAUAACAUUGCUAUUUGUACACUUAUCGUGACACGAGUAGUCUCUUAAAUAUUACACCUUUCUACUGAUGUUGCUGAUGCCACUGGAUUUAGCCUUCCGUCUUCCUUUGCAAGGUAGAUCGAGGACUCCCAAGAAAGGAAACACAAGUUACUGGAGUCUGUUCUGGCCUAUACAGUAUGUAUGUACAUAAAAUUUGGAGUAUCUAAAAACCACUGACAAAUGGCUAUACGAAAGAUCAUAUACAAUUAAAUUACAAGCCAUUUGCAAUCAUCCUGCCCCUUUAUGCAGAAUCUUUUCAAAGAAAAUGAAAACGAACAAAACAAACACUCACACAUUUGGCUUCUGAUUUGACAUUUAUUUCAGAGAACUGGCUAGUCGCUGCAGGAAAAAAAAAGACGCAAAAAAUGGAAAAUAAUAUGUUAGAUGUCCCAUAAUUAAGGAACAAGAGAACAUUAUAGCAAGAAUGAGCAUGCAGGUAUAAGAACUUACACAUUAUUGCGGCAAGAAGCAACUUCUUUCUCAAAGUCAUCAUCAUCAUCUUCAUCUGUUGUUACACUAUCGAAAAUGCUAGCUACAAAAGAUGAAAAAUGAAAUGUUACACUUCCCAAAAUCAAGAAUGAGCAUGCAAGUAUAACAAGUUACACAAUAUUGGAAGGAUUCGAAUCAAUCACAAUGACAGCAUCAAGAACUUUUGUUGAAUUGGUGUAAUUUGACUUACUAAAGCUAUUAUCCAGAUUAUUAUCGAGUUUACUAUAAUGAUGAGUUAAAUAUUGUUGUAAAUCAAGGAAGAAGAUGUCUUACUAAAGAUUACGAGUAUGGACCUCGAUAGAGCUUCCAUAGUUGUCUUGAAUGUCCUGUUGAAUUUGCUUGGCGGAAUUCCCAACAGAUUGUUGACAGUAAUGUAUAUCAAUAAGAGCUAGUGUGGUUAUAUCUGCAAAAUCUCGAGGGAUUGAAUCCAAAUACUCGCAAUUUCUAAGAAAAAGUCGUUCAAGGUACGGAAAGUGAUCACUACUAGCUCUCCAGUACCGAAUGUAUAUUUGAUCCAGAAACAAGAACUUCAAGUGAGGAAACCCUUCCUCAACUACUUCCCACUCCUCGCCUAUGACGGCAUUGUGUGAUAGUUUAAGGACCUCGAGUUUGGGUAAUUUACCAACAAUGCUCAAAUCCUUCCAUGCCAAAAGGAAAUCUCCUCUAAAAGUUAAACUCUGGAAAAGAUUAAUUAACAAAAAUUUAUGGUACUAAUUGGGGUAUUAAUUAACAUAUCCUUACUUGAUCACAUAUGUAUUGUUCUGUGUGAAAUUUUCCUCUGACUGAUAGUUGACUAAAUUAUAUUGCAUACGUUCGUGUACAUUUUCUCACUUGGAAGAGUGGAUUUGGACGUAAUUAACUAUCACCAUCGUUUAGGUAGAAAAAAGAAAAUAACUAAUAGUUGAAUGUUUUAAUACAUAGAUGAUCAACUAAUAUGAGAAGAAAAGAGUAGCGUAAAUGUGAGAUUCACUUCUCACCAAGAAUCCUCCUUUCUUAUUAUUUUCCUUUUAGAGGUUAAUAAUUAUUAAGUAUCCCUAGAAUAAUUUAUUGAAAAAGUAGAUUUGAAAGAAAGCAAUUACUCUCUUCUUCCUAUGCGGGACUUCUUGAACAUAACUAAUUUGACAAAAACCACAAUUUUAUUUAUUUUUAGGUGGAAUUAUAUCAAUAAGGAACUAUAUAUGCUUAUGAUAUUAAUCUAAGACCAUUAUUUGUUACUUGAACACAUGGAUUCAUCAUCUGAACAAUUGAAACAAUUAAUACUUGUGUGAACCUUUUUUUAUUUCGAGUGAUGUGUCAUAAUCAUUAGCCAACUAAGACUAGCGUUAAAUUUUUGGUAAGUCUCAAGAAGUGUAAUUAAUACUUAAUAAAAUAAUCUCAUCCUUGAGAUUCAAGAACUUGUUUGGAUUGAAUAGGUUUUUAUCAUCAAGAUCUAGAACAAAGUCUUAAUAUUAGUAAGAGGUAUUUUUGUGUGAAAAGUUUUCUUUGAGGUUCGAGAAAUGGAAUAGAUAUGGACUACAAGUUGAUAUUUCCCAUUGGAAAAUUCACACAAAAAGGAACAAGGAAUUCUCAAUGAAAAAAGCGCUCUCCAAAUCUGUUUAGUAUUUGUCAUGAGGUUCUUAUCAUAAUUGGAUUUUCCUUUUAGGAAAAGGUAAACACAGUCUCCAUAUUUGUCUAGUUCUUUUUCUUGUAGGAAAAAAAUUAUGACUCUAUAAAUAGAUGUUUUGUAACAUCCGACAAUUUGAAAUAGCUAAGAAGAGGCUUGAAAUUUGGAAAUUUUCAAUUUUUGGAAAGGAUUUGAAAAUCUGGAAAAUUUGGCUAAGUAUGGGAAAGGUGAGUUUUUUUGGGCCCAAACUUUGAACAACCAUAAAUUCUAGCUCAGGAUGAGUUAGGUGGAGUUCCGGUUAUGUUUGCAUAGCCCUCGGAACGACCUUUCCAACGCCACUGAGUUUGCUCAAUUCUGAGUUCGUAUGAGCGAGUUAUGGCCAUUGAAAGUUGGGCAGUUGGCAGGGAAUCCGUCCGGAAAAUUAAGGGCAUUUUAGUCUUUUCCCUAGCCAAUUCUUUUGGGAUUAUAUUGUUGUAUAGGGCUGAUCUUUAGAUCAUUUUGUCCCAUUUUAAGAAAUUAAAAUCUAGGGCUUGAGAGUGAAGAAGAGAAGAAGGAGAAGAAGAAGAGAAAAAUCGAGGAGAUCAACAAGUUUCCGACAAGAUCAUCGUGAAUGUUCGUCGGGGGUGAUCCCUAUCAAGGUAUGUGAGCUUUUAGUGUUGGGUGAUACUUUCCCCCACACACCUAGCCCCUUUUAUUUAUUAAGGAAGGAUUGGUUAUGUUGUUAAAGUUGUUAGUUGUUGUGGUUGAAGUUGUUGGAGUUGUUAAAGUUGUUAGUUGUUGUUGUUGGAAUUAUUGUUGGUGGUGGGACAUAAUUGAGUUGUGUUUUUAUGUUGAAAUCUAUUGAAUGUUGAGGGAUUUUAUGUUUCUAAGUGAUUGGGGGCUGGAAUCUUUGAGGUUAGAGGGUUUAGAGUUGGUAACGUGAAGGAGAAAGUCGGGUAGCUUGCGAGGAGCAUGUCUGCGUCGCGGACUUGUUCCUCUGUGAACAAAAAAUCUUCUCCGCGUCGCGGACAGGACGCAGACUCCACUGUUUUCAGAAUUUAUGUUCGAAGAUUUUCUUAGGUUUGGCUGUCCCAAAUCAUUCGCAAAUCAUUCCUAAACAUCAUGAGACCCUUCCAAACACCAAUCAAGUCCUUGAAUCCAUAAUCCAAUUCAAGGUGAGUUAUGAUCAAGUCAAGUGAAGUUAGUUUUCAAGUCAAGUGAAGUUAGAAGUCAAGUGAAGUUAGAGCCAAGCUUAGAAGUUAAGCAAGUCAAAGCAAGUCUUUAAAGCUUUUCAAGAGUCUUCAUUGAACGUUUUGACUUCAUUCUAAGGCUCAAGUUCCAAGUUAAGUAUAGAGUUUCAAGUCAAGCAAAGAGUCUCAAGUUUCAAGUUAAGUAAAGAGUAUCGAGUUUCAAUUUAAGUCAUAAUUUUUCAGUCAAGAGUCAAGAGUUGAGUUCAAUUCUCAAAAGUAAUUAGGGAACUAAGUAUUUCCCAAAGAAGUUUUAUAAGUGUUUUCACAUUUAAGUUGAGAGGAAACGGAGAUUUCCAAAAGAGUUUUGAGAAGUUUGAGCACUAUCUCUUUUAAAAGAAAAGAUGAGUUUUUGAAAAAGAGUUUCUAAAUUAUGAUUAGUAUGACAAAUGGAGUAUGUCAUCAAUGUUUAAACAGUAUGGUCUCUAGAUAUACCAUCAAUGUUUAAGCAGUAUGAAUAUCCCGAGUCAUCAAUGAUCAUAAAAAAAAAAAAUGUGGUUUUGACUUGUUCUAUUUAGAAAGAGUUUUCAAGUGCCUUCGGGCUAAGUUUUGAGUAAUUAUCUCAACUAAAGAAAGAUGUGCUUAAAACACUUAUGAGCUAAAGUAUUUUGGGAGUAGUAUCGAGCACCGAAUUGGGGAAACGAGUUCAUAUUAAACUCAACUCUCCAUAAGAACCAUGUAGCCAAACAUGGGAUUUCUCGGAUCAUACUUUUUAGAUGAUCACGAAAGUUAAGCUAGUGGAUCCAUUAAGCAAAAGUUAAAGUAAGGUCCUAUAUCGAUGGCAAGGUAUAGGAUGGUCCUUGGGCAACGUGAGGUAAAACGUUGUAUCACCACUCAGAUUCAUAGUGGUGGUUUGUCGGUUAGAGAAGCUCCCACAGUAGAAAGAGCAUGGUUCCUCGAGGGUUCUGCUUAGUAUGGAUGGGGGUAUGGGACUUCAUUCAUGCAUUGCACAAGUAGACUUUGAGAGGAAGCAUGGUAUUUUUAUGAUAUUAUAAAUAUGAUUUUUACGUCAUGUUUUAAUAGUUUCAAAAGCUUUAUAUAUAUUGCAUGUGUCUCAUUGCUUUAUAUUAAGUUCAGUUAUUCUUGAGUUGUACAGAGCCAAGGUAAGUUCUCUUUUGUAUCCCUUUUCAAGCUUAAGUUGUUGUUUAGCGGUCCAGCUCGCAUACUCGUACAUUCCAUGUACUGAUGCCAGUUGGCCUGCAUCUUAUGACGAUGCAGACACNNNNNNNNNNNNNNNNNNNNNNNNNNNNNNNNNNNNNNNNNNNNNNNNNNNNNNNNNNNNNNNNNNNNNNNNNNNNNNNNNNNNNNNNNNNNNNNNNNNNNNNNNNCAGUCAGUUAGUUUUGAGUCUCUCAUCUAUGUAUAUAUGUAAAUAUUCUAUUUUGAGACUCGAGUGGCCUUUUUGGCCAGAUGUGUAUCAUUUAAGUUGUUUAUGUCUUUGCAUGGCAUUGAGUUAUUCUGUUGAGUAGGUUUCCGCUGAGUUAAGAAAGCCAGGCCAAGGGUUCGCUUGGGGCCAGCAAUGGUCUCUGAGUGCCGGUCCCGCCCAGGGUGUAGGCUCGGGGCGUGACAUGUUUAUUCAUUCUAGCUUGGUAGCAUUCAUAAUGCAAUCCUAGGGGGCUUUGAGAGUUUUGUGUAUUGUGUGAAGCUAGAGGAAGAAUGUAUGAGACACAAGUAUUACUUUAACACUUGUGUGAACCUCUUUGUAUUCAGAGUGAAUUGUGUGAGGUUAUUCUUCUCUAGAUUUUAUAGUGAUUUUUUCAUCUCCUCUUGUGGAUGUAGAUCGGUUGACCGAACCACGAUAAAUGUUUGUGUCUUUUGAUAUAUUUCUUGUUUGUCUUAUUACUCAUCGUCUUUCAAGGUUUGCUUUGCUAGCUUUUGCAUGACACCUAAUUAUUUCAGUCCCAACAAGUGACAUCAGAGUCAGGUUCAAUGGUUUAAUGAUUCAAUGGUCGAACCAUGUUAAAAAUAAGUGUUCAUCUUGACGGGUUUAGUUCUAGCCGUAACAUAUUUGACAGUAAUGAAGAUUUUUGUUGGAGAAAUAUUUUCAAAGAUGUUUUCUGUGUUGAUAUAUAUAUAUAUAUAUAUAUAUAUAGAUUUUGCAGAGGAGAUGCAAGGUAUUGAAGAUUAUGUGAAGAAGGUGGAUCAAAUUUAUUUUGUCAGAAAUUUAGGCCAAUGGAGAUAUUUGUUUAGUAUUUGUCAUGAAUUUCUUAUCAUAAUUGGGUUUUUUCUUUUAGAAAAAGGAAACCACAAAGUUUCCAUAUUUGGCUAGUUCUUUUUCUUGUAGGAAAAUGUUUGACUCUAAAAUUAUAUGUGUAUUCCUUCUAGCCUAAUAGCAUUUACAAUGUAGUCCUAAGGGGCAUAGAGAGUUUUGUGUAUUGCGUGUAGCUAGGGGGAGAAUGUGUGAGACACAAGUGUUACUUUAACACUUGUGUAAACCUCUUUGUUUUUCCAUUGAAUUGUGUAAGGUUAUUCCUCUCAAUAUUUUGUACUUUCUUUUAUAUAGUGAAUUGCUCAUAUCCUCUUUUGGAUGUAGGUCGGUUGUCCGAACUACGUUGAAUAUUUAUGUCUUUUGGUAUAUUUUUCGUUUGUAUUAUUACUCAUGGUCUUUCAAAAUUUGCUUUGCUAGCUUUUGCCUGAUACCUAAUAAUUUCAGUCCCAACAAAACCAAACGUGAAAGUUGUUUUCCAGCAGACAACUUUUCUAGUAGCUCUACUCUCGACUUGGAUAAUUUAACCAAAAAGGUACGCUUUCGGCCAUUCUACAUGCUGCCUAUGUAGAGACAUGUUUAUCUAAAGUGGAUUCUCUUUUUUGUAGUAGGUAUCAAACCUGUUAUGCCCAUUGACUAAGAAGCUAGGGGUGGACACAACAACUACAUGGACCUCUUUCUUACAUCGGCCAUCACUAUUAAUCGUCUUUGUUAUCACAAUGACCACCACUAUUACCGUCAUCAAACAUCUCUGUCCUCACAAUUACCAUUAUUAUCAACCACUACUAUAUAUCAAACAUUUGCUAUAUUUAUGUUUUUUAUUGACAUAAACAAUGGGUUAACAUGAUAUAAUUUAUUAGUAGUUUUAUAUAUUUUUCUUAUAAUAAAGGAAACAAUCACUUAUACAUUCUUUGAGAUCAUUUAGUUUAAAAUCAGGAGUGGAAUCAUAACUAGGGUUAUAGCUUAGCAUCAAUUCACCUUCUUAAUUAAUGGGAUAAUUUAAUUAGCUAAAUUUGAAUGAAAAGAAGAAGAAAUUGAUUAAUUUAAUUCGUUUACGUUCCAAUGGGGUGUGCAAUAUCCAUAAAUUUGUCAUGUCGUUAUUAGGUGUUCAUGAGAUGCACAUAUUCCAAGCAAAAGUACCUAUUUGAUCACUAGAUGAGUUUAAGUAUUCAAUUUACAAAUUCUGCCAAAUUUGAGGGACUAUCUAGGUAUUAUUUAGAUAAAAUUAUUUGUAUAGUCCACUCUAAACAUACUUAUAAUUAAGCAAGUAACAUAUACUAUAUAAAGAAGCUUCUAGAGAUAAUUAAAGUUAACUCUAUAUAAUUAGAGUUGCAAUAACAAAUACGUCAAAACAUUAAAGUGUUUCACCAAUAAAGUCAUUUUUUUAAUGUCCAAAACUAAUCCAAUGGAAGCUCUAUUAUGUGGAACACCAGAAGAAGUUUCAGUAUUGUUGGUACAUCAUGAAGUAGAAUUUCUUACUAAUCAGACUGUUAAAUUGUUAGAGGCUUAUAAAUACAAAGGUGACAUUCUAGAAUUUUUUUAACUUUUUUGUUUCUUUGAUAUAAUAACUAAAUGCCGUGUGACAUUUUUUUUUAUAUAUAGAGAGAGAUUGAAAUGAUAUGCUUUUUGUUAUCUCAUUUAUGAUUUUAGCAUCGUCCAUUUUUAAAUUUCAUUUAUCUUGUAAAUCUUGAACUUUUCUUUUUCCUUGUUAUCAUAGCACUUUUUAAUUUUUACAAAUUUAUCUAUCCUCGAAGAAAAAUAAUUCUACAUUAGUGAUGGAUGCACAAGAAAUUAGGAUGACGGGAGGGAAGAGAAAGAGCACGAAAAAGACAUGAUAAGAGAUGAUCUGUCUAUCAUUAUUACUUGAGAUAAUAUUUUUUUGUCUUUUAUUGGAUGUAUAAAAAAAAAUGAGGAGAUCUAAUUUUCAUUAAAAAAACAUUUCCCUUUCUAUUUUUUGUUUUUGUUUUUCGUUGGACGUAGACAAAAAAUUGGCAACUCCUUUCUUAUACUUUGUUAGAUCAUCUAAUUACAUAUCUAUGAAAUAAAAUUACCUCAAAACAUUUUAUCCUAUUAUCUUUUGCUUUAAUAUUUAUUUGUUUUUGACAAGCCAUAAAUAAAUUGGAAUAGUUUUUAGAAAUAUAUUCUUUAGGAUCUUCUCUAGUUUUUAGUAAUCCAAUUAACGAAAAAAAAAAACUAAUAUAUACUUUUUAUGUAACCAAUCUAGUUAAGAUUGCACUCAUCAUUUAUAAUAUAAGUUGAUUAAUAUGUGUUAUUUUAAAAAUUAAAGUGCAGAAAUAUAACAUGAAAAUUCACAGUUGAAUUUGAAUAACAAACAAACAUAUCCAAAUGAUACCUUUGUGUACAAUAUUUUUUUUUUCAUAAUUUUCACUGAUUUCAAAUUGCACGGGUAUAUGUAGUUACGGAAGUUAUGGCUCCUGCGGCAAUGUCAAUGCUUUUCAAAGAAAAGAAAAAAAUUGAUGCAAUGAUAAUCAAGGUCAUUUCACCGGAUUCACAUUGCUUUGAGCUCCUGGCACAAGCUGUAACCUUGAACAUCAUCGUAGUAAGUAAGUAUUUAUAAUUCUAUCUUCCACUUAUUAUUAUAGACGGUAAAGUAAGUUUUUUUAAUUAACUAUUGCAUAAUGUAUAUAAUAUUAUUCAAUUUUAAUUGCUAUCUUCUUGAUAUAAUUAUGCAGUUGUCUAUGAUGAACUCAAUGAAUUCUUAGUGAAGAAAGCUUUGGACAAUGGAGCUUACAUUUGCUCGAAGAAGCCUCUUGUCGAGCAAACUAUGACAUUCUUGUGGCAAUUUGUAUGGAGGGAGAAAACACAAAGAGGGAAAUCAAUAAAAAGAGUAGAAACAAAGGGAGAUCAUAUUUUUGUUUGAAGUUAUUGGAGUUCUGAGAAAACAAUAGGUCGUGGUUUUUUCCUCCCUUGAGCAAAGAGGUUUCCACGUUAACAUAUGUGUUCUUACUUUAAGCAUUUAGAUUACUUCUUGUUAUCAGUAUAGUCAAGUGGUCAGAACACGAGAAGACAUGUCACUAAACAACAACAUAUAUAGGAAAAAACAAACUCUGCUAAGUGAUCGAUCCGUGUGUGAUAGUUGCCUUCUUAACCUUGAACUAUUGCUUCCUGCUAGAUUAUAUGAACUUAGAUAUGUAUACAAAUUAGUAUUCAAUGAGUUCCCAAACAUUCGUGCAUAAACAAUUUCCCCUGUUGUCGUGCCACCAGGACUUAGCAUAUGUUCUGUAUUUGUAUAAUUUCGAUGAUGAUCAUGAGAUUGCUGGGAUAAUGGAGGCAUAUUAUUAUUGUGUAUUAGACCGUGACUCCUACAUCUCGAACUAGGAGGUCUUUGUGGUAUGACUAUACCAAAAUUCUAUACCAAAAUUCGGGGCCUUAAUUUCAGAUGUUUUUGUAGCUUGACAGCGACCAUAGAGUGGAAUCAAUGUUUUUUGUGAGACUUCAGCUUUGCAAACAGGGCAAUUUGGUUGUUGGUUAUCGAUGUUCUCUGAUGAAAUGGUCUUAAAAUGUAUCCAUUUGUAGAUGCAAGGCCAACAAUAGGAGGUGACCACAUAAUGUAACAACAGGAUCAUGUACAACAUCUAGGCAAAUGUUGCACUCGAAACCUCCAGGUGAAUUUUCUUCAAGUUUAUCAAGAUCAAUUGUCUCCAUUUUUCAAAGGAAAUAUCGCGUUGAUCAAAGGUAGUUUCUGCUAUUUGGUCUUGAAAAAUUUGUUCUAAGGCCAUAUUUGCCUCUUGGUAUUGAAUUAUUUUGGUAAUGGCAAGAUGAAGAAUGGUUAGAAUUCAGGUUUUUAAUACAAUUAGAAGUGAGUAUUUAUAAGGACAAAGAAUAGUAGUUUGCAAACAAUGAUUCUUAAGGUUGUCACUUGUCAACAUCACAUUAUGUUAAAGGGGCAUGGCCAAAAAGAAAAGGCCCUACACAUUAUUAAACAACACUAUAUCAUAUUACUCAACAGUCUUGAUUUAUGGGGUAUUGUUUGAUUUGAUAUAACAUUUAAUAAGAAAAUGAAGACUUUUAAAAUAUGUACUGUAUUAAAGAUAAAAAAUAAAUUUUAAGUUUUUCGAUCCUAGAAAUGAUAUUCUUUUUAUAUUAAGACUAAAACAAAUGUUUUACAUAAAUUAAGAUAGAUGAACUAUCAAACACAUCAUAAUUAAGUGAUUUAAUGAAGUCAAAAAUAAAUAUUAAUGGAUCAUGGUUAAGUGAGAGGAGUUUUGUGCAAACACGUCUUUUAUCUAUCUAUUUGAUUUAAACAAGCAUAAGUUUUAUCAUAUUAGAAAUAUGAUUAGGACCUUAUAUUAGGCCCCAUGAUAGGAAUCUUAAUCUAGAAAAUAACUUUUAGUCAAUAAAAAGUAGCACUAGUUGCGUACAAGGAGCUACCACUUGAUGACCUUCCACACUUCCACAUCCCAUAAGUUCAAUAGUUUUCACACUAUAAGAACUAGAUGUUUUUUUCCGCGUGAAUCAAUAAAAUUUUUAGUUUUAUGUUAUAAAACAUGAUUUUUUUCAUUUUGAUUUUAUUAAACUAAUUCACUAAGAAAAUUCAUAACGAAACAUAAGUUCUCAUUGAAAUACUGGAAAUAGUCACUUGGAAAUUUAUGAGUUUUAGGAAAUUAUGCAUCAAAACUUAGAAAGACGCGGCUCAUAUAGAAAUUUGUUGUUAAAUCAUAAUAUAUACUUUUACAUCUGAAUAUCUUUAUUGAUUUGGUUAAAAUUAUAAUUAAAAAAAUUACAAUACAAUAUAUAUAGAUUCACAUAAAUUUAAUACUGUAAGUUCAAUUAUUAUUCAAUUAUUAUUAUGAUAUAUUAAUCUAAAAUUAUUAUAGAAGCUUCUAAACUCUAAAUUCAGAUCCAACUAAGGAGUGAAUAUACAUAGUGGGGGUCUGGGGGAUGGGAGAAAACAUAUGGACGGUGUGACAAAUAAAUAAAAGAAAUACUCCGUCCAUUCCAUUUGACUUAGUAUUGUUUGACUUAAUACGAUGUAUAAGAGAAAAAAAAGAUUUUAGAAAAUUAUAGGCUAAAACAAUUUUUAUAUAUUUAUAUAAUUGUAAAUCAUUUCAUUAAUUAAGGGUAGAUGGAGAAUUUUAAGUUUAAUUAUUUUCAAUUACAAUAAAAUGACAUUUUUAAAGACGGAUUAUGAGAAUAGAGUGCCACGUAAAAUAAAACGAGAAAAUACUACUCCCUCCUUCCCAUUUUAUAUGUUACCUUUUUACUUUACAUUUACAUUAAGAAAUAAUGUAACUUUACCCUUCUACCCUUAUUUAAUGUUUUCUUAAGUUAACUUUAUAACUCCCUCCGUCCCAUUUUAUAUGUCAUCUCUUUCUAUAAAUAGUUGGACCACAAUACUUGUCAUUUUAUAAAAUUUAUGUAUAAAUUACCAUAUUUUACCUAUUAUAUCCUUGAUAGAGUAGUUAAUUAAUCUUGAAAAUAUAUUCAUCAUUUAUUAUAAAUUGACUUAAGAAAAUAUUAAAUAAGAAUAGAAAGAUAAAAUUACAUCAUUUCUUAAUAAAAGUAUAAAGUAAAAAUGUGACGUAUAAAAUAGAACGGAGGGAGUACUACAAAAGAACGAGUCCGCACAUGCAUUAUACAAGUACUACAUGUGUCUCGAAUUUAGCAGCCUUUUGUCAACUUUUUAUAUUUUGGCUUACUUGGAAGCAAGUCUAUCCUCUCCUAUACAAUCAAUUAGGGUGGCCAUUAAUCAUAUAUUAUUAGGCUAAAGAUAACAUAUUGCUCCCUCCGUUUUUAAUUAUUUAUCCAUUUUUUUAGUUAUUCCUAAUUACUUGUCUAUUUUUACAAAUCAAGAAAGAACAAUUUUUUUUACCUAUUAUACCGUCAAUUUAUUACUUUGAAAAAAGUAGAACUUUUUGAAAAUCUUGAGUUUUUAAUUCAUCCACUUCAUAAUUAAUAUGGAUAAAAUGGUAAACUCACUAUUUCAAUAAUUGUUUUCUUAAUAGGUGUGCCAAUUCAAAAAUGGACAAGUAAUUAGGGAUAGAGAAAGUAUAUCGAAAUAAUAUAAUAAGAUAUUAUGCUAAAGAUAAUUAACAAAACUUUGAACAAUUAUAAAUAAGAUAGCAAAAAAAUCCAUAGUAAAUUAACAUGGUUCAACGAUUAGUGAUGGAAUCUGAAUAUGAUUCAGGAUUUUCACUAUUAAUGAAAUUCAAAAGGAAUAAUACAUAAAUGUGCCCUUUAACUUGACUUCAUUUUAUGUUUAUGUCCUUCAACUUUGGGUAUACACAAAUAUGCACCUAAACUUGUAUAAAGUUGAACAACUAGACACAUGAGUCCUACAUGACACAAUACACAUAAGAUACCACGUAGGAUAAAAAAUGCCAUGUAGGACAUGUGUGUCUAUUUUUUCAACUUUAUACAAAUUUAAAUAUCUACUUGUGCACACCCAAAGUUGAAGGGCAUAAAUGUGAUUUGAAGCCAAGUUAAAGGGUAUAUUUAUGUAUUAUGCCUAUUCAAAAUAUGAAUAAAUAAACAUAUAAAUUAGCUGACUACAAUAAUAGACAGAUAAAAAAUAAUUUUAACUAUAUGUAUAAAUAAUAUAAUUUUUCAUCGAAAGAGGUUCAUCUGAUUCCUCACUACUUUCUCUCAUUCAAAACUAAGCAAUAUGAGACUUUCAUGUCACAUGGAACCCUUUUUUUUUUUUUUGGAAAUCUCAGUAGUUCAGUUAAUUGACUGACUAUCUGAAUUCUCGAUUUCCCAUGUUGUAAUCCUCUACCCCAAUUUUUUUAUUACCUUCCUCACAUAUGUAUAAGACCGAAUCCAAAUAUCUAAGAUGAGAGAAUUUUGGGAGAGCCACCGACUCCAACUACUGCCAUAUAUUAUCCAUAUUAGAUUUGACCAACUAUCCAUCCUACCCUCCUCUACGUUCUUGACAACCCAUUUUUGUCUUAGUCAAGUCUUUUAGUGGCACGUUUUGAUCCUCUUUUCAAUUACUUAGAAAAAGUGAGUUAUUAUUCAGAUACAAAAUACUAUCAUUAUCGCCUAAAAAAUUAGACAUUCAACCCGUAAUCACAAUGAUCCAAUUACAAAAGCUCCGAACCCCCUAGGUCUAGACUGGCUCUGGCCCUAGUUUUAUCUCUUGACCUUCACAUGAGUAAACUCGUUGAUAUAGAGGAUUACAGUAUUGAUUUCUUUAAAAGAAAAAAACCUUAAUUUAAGGUAUGGAGGCCUAGAAAGGAAACACACGUUAUAUAUGGAGCCUGUUCUGGCCUAUACAGUAUAUAUGUACAUAAAAUUUGGAGUAUCUAAAGAACCACUGACAAAUGGCUACGAAAGAUCAUAUACAAUUAAAUUACAAGCCAUUUGCAAUCAUCCUGCCACCUUAAGCAGAAAAAAUGAAAACGAAUAAAACAAACACUCACACAUUUGGCUUCUGAUUUGACAUUUAUUUCAGAGAACUGGCUAGUCCUCAGAACACCUUAACUACUCGCUGCAGAAAAAGAAAAAAAAGACGCAAAAAAUGGAAAAUAAUAUGUUAGAUGUCCCAUAAUUAAGGAACAAGAGAACAUUAUAGCAAGAAUGAGCAUGCAGGUACGUAUAAGAACUUACACAUUAUUGCGGCAAGAAGCAACUUCUUUCUCAAAGUCAUCAUCAUCAUCAUCAUCUUCAUCUGUUGUCACACUAUCGAAAAUGCUUGCAACAAAAGAUGAAAAAUGAAAUGUUACACUUCCCAAAAUCAAGAAUGAACAUGCAAGUAUAACAAGUUACAAAAUAUUGGAAGGAUUCGAAUCAAUCACAAUGACAGCAUCAAGAACUUUUGUUGAAUUGAUGCAAUUUGACUUACUAAAGCUAUUAUCCAGAUUAUUAUCGAGUUUACUAUGAUGAUGAGUUAAAUAUUGUUGUAAAUCAAGGAAGAAGAUGUCUUACAAAAGAUUCACGAGUAUGGACCUCGAUAGAGCUUCCAUAGUUGUCUUGAAUGUCCUGUUGAAUUUGCUUGGCGGAAUUCCCAACAGAUUGUUUACAGUCACUUAUAUCAAUAAGAGCUAGUGUGGUUAUAUCUGCAAAAUCUCGAGGGAUUGAAUCCAAAGAAUAGCAAUCUUUAAGAAAAAGUCGUUCAAGGUACGGAAAGUGAUCACUACUAGCUCUCCAGUACCGAAUGUAUACUCUAUCCAGAAACAAGAACUUUAAGUGAGGAAACCCUUCCUCAACUACUUCCCACUCCUCGCCUAUGAAGGCAUUGUCUGAUAGUUUAAGGACCUCGAGUUUGGAUAAUUUACCAACAAUGCUCAAAUCCUUCCAUGCCAAAGAAAAUUUUCCCCUAAAAGUUAAACUCUUAAGGUUUUGUGGAAAAGCAUCCGGAGGAGGUAAGAGUAAAGUUGGAACAUCAGUUGGAGGUGCAGUUCCCCCGAAACGAGUCUGAAACCUCAGAGGAUCUUGCGGAGUAGAACCUGAAGGUGCAGUGUUUUUUAGAAAGCAAGCAAUAGGUGAAUAAUAAAUACCAAAUGUCAAUUUCUCGAGCUGAUAUAAGUAGCGAAAAUCAUACAGGUCCUUGUGAUUGCGAAAGUCCUCUGGGACGCCAAAUACUUUCAACUUCUUUAAAUUGGGAAAUAGUCUAAAAAAAGACCCUGUACAAUACCGAGGAUUCAAUUGAUUGAGGCAUUGCAAACUUUUCAAAACCAAUCUGUUCUCUGUAGGCUCAUGACUCUGCAAGUAAUUCCAGCCCAUAUGCAGCUUCCUCAAUUGUGGCAUCGUCAAAAUUUCCGAUGGUAAUAUGAAAGGAUAACUACUAUUGGGAAAUGGAAGGUAAAGUUUAAAAGUUUGCAGAUAGCAUAGGCUUGAUAUCGAUAGAGGAAUGUCUAUUAUUGAUGAGGGAACAGCUUCUUUCGAUCCUCGAUACUGCUUUAAGCAAGGCUUAAAACACAAAGAUAGGUAUCUCAAAUGAAAUAGAGAAAGUACUCCACUGGGAAAAAAUGGGCAUAUAGUCAAACCAAGAUCUAGUACUCUUACUAGCUUGAAAGACAAUGCCAGUGUGACGCAUUUGAAUCCACCCAACAUGAUAAUAGAAUGAGCCUCACUGCUACAACACCAAACCAAUUUUUUCUCAUUAUGGAUUCUGAUCCGAUUUCGACUCUUAAAGGAACACUGCAUGGAUUGUUCACAUGAAUUUUGAUAACUCUUUCCUCUGAUAACAUUCACAAAAUUCAUGUUUCGAGCUUCCCUCAAACAGAGUUCACGGGUCACAUCAUGCAUUCCACAACUUUCUAUUGUUCCACGAAAACUAAAAUUGUGGAUGAAAAUUAAGCUUCUAUCUAUAAGUUCAUUUAUACAUGUUGUUGCCACCUCUUCUAUGCUUUUUCCCUCUUCUUCAUUCAAAAACCCCUCUACGGCCCAUAAUUCAACAAGUUUAUUUACAUAAAUCUGUUCAUCCUCUGCGAAAAUUGCAAAAUACAGAAAACACGGUUUUAGGUGAGAAGGCAAGUGAUGGUAACUCAAAGCCAACACUCUCAUGCACUUUGCUUCAAGAUCUGUGCUUACCACUGAACUUACAUUCUCCGCAACAUAUUGCCACACACCCAAUGUUUUACUGAUUUUGGAGAGAAGUCCAGCAAUCACAGUAAUUGCUAGAGGUAACCCUCCACAUUUUAAUGCAAUUUGUUUCCCAAUAUUUUCAAAUUCAGGAGAAUAAGAACCUUCUUUUUCAAAGAUCUUUUUGUGUAGUAAAUUCCAACUUUCGUCAAAAUUCAUGAGGCGCAUGUGAUGAGGAGGCUUACCUGACCUAGCACAUUCAGCCACUUCCACAUUCCGAGUAGUCAGGAGUAUUCUGCUUCCAUUAUAACAGUCUGGGAAACAUAGUUUUAUAUCAUCCCAAGCUUCUGUAGUCCAUAUGUCAUCAAUGACUACCAAGUAUCUCCUGCCUUUCAGAUGCUUCUGCAAUCGGUCCGCUAGCUGAUCAUCAGGUUCAUCACUUAUCGAAGGAAGAAGGCCUAGGAUUACAUUUCUCACACAAUACUCUUGUGAAACAGUUGCUUUUGCACGAAUAUCAAAUCGAGACAUAAUGUAAGGAUCACUAUAGAGUUUUGUAGCCAAAGUUGUUUUCCCGAUACCUCCCAUCCCUACGAUUGAGACAACUUCUAGUUCCCUUCCUCCUCUAGCAAGUUGAUCCAGCAUCAUCUCAAAUUCAUUUUCACGGCCAACCAUUAUAUUCUCGGGCUGCUCAACAGCAUGUUCAGGUAAACUGACAAGUGAGCUAGUUUGUGGUUUUAGAUCUUUCAUGCUGUCCGAUGCUGCCAUCCACUGUUUCACGGUGGAAGCAAUGCAUUCUAGUGCUUGUUCCAAGACGAAAAAAAUCUCCCACAUAGCCCUGCUUCUUUCCUCCAAAUUCUGUGCUAAAAAAACAUUUCUUGAUUCCGAGUCAACCAUAUCUUCUGUUGUGUAUGCUACCUCUGCGAUUUCAACUUCCAAGAUUGUUAACCCCUCAUGAUCGCCCAUUAUAUUGCAGGAUUUCUCCAGAAUAGCUCUCAAAGAUUUGAGCUUUUCAUAAAACGGUUGCAAAUCACAUCCAGUAAGUUCCAUUGAUUGAUGUAUGGUUCUCAUAAGGGAAGUAACAGCAGCAUAAGCCAUAUAUCCAAAAAAUAGAAAUAUCUCUCAGUAUGAAAAUGGACAAAUUGCCACAAGUUAUGUAAUUUUUCAGUUUUUAAGAAAACAGAAAAUGCAAAGUUCUUUCUUUUACUAGCUAUUUCCAUCACAUUUCCAGCUAGGUCCACCAACCUUAUCAUCAUGUAGACAAAAGCAGAGACCAAAGUUAAAAAAAAAAGAAAAAAGGCAGGACUCUAACAGGAAAAAGUAGAAAAAAUUGUGACCAUUCAUUAUUAGACCCUACACUUAUCUAUUCAUGAAUAUAGGUAUGUUUCUUACAUACAAGAGAUUGAUGAUUUUAAUUCCAUUGAAAGCAACUUCGUAGAAUUUUCCAAAUCAAAGAGAGAGAAAUAUUAAGAUCCAAGUAGGAAUUUCUCUAUUCCUAGUUCGAUUCAAUUAACCAAGCAUAAAUAUCUCUUUAAAUAUAUAUGAGAAGUUUAGACUCUAAAAGUCAAAUCAACAAAAUAUUUAUGGGCUAACACAUGAAAAACUAUUGAGAAAAUUGCCUAAUUUCUGUAAAUUGGCCCUUAAAUCUCCAAAAUGGACUCUAAAAAUUGUCAGACUGUACGUAUUGCUCCCAACUCCCUACUAAGGGUUCUGUAAUUUCGAUUAGAAUUCGCCCGUAAGUCAUAUCACCAAUAUAUUAAUGACUAACACACACGAAAAACUAAGAAAAUUGUCUAAUUUCUUGAAAUUGGCCCCUAAAUGCCUAAAAUGGACUCUAAAAAAUUGUCAGACUGUACGUAUUGCUCCCAACUACCUACUAAGGGUUCUGUAAUUUCGAUUAGAAUUCGCCCGUAAGUCAUAUCACCAAAAAUAUUAAUGGGCUAACACACACAAAACACUGAGAAAGUCGCCUAUUCCUGUAAAUUGGCCCCUAAAUGCCCAAAAUGAACUCUAAAAUUGUGAGACUAUGUACUGCUCCACUAACUCCCUAUGGAGGGUUCCGUAAAGAUUUCACAAAGAAAUUAUUCGGAAGAUAUAUCACCAAAAUAUUUAUGGGCUAAUACAUUUUUAUUUGUCCAUUUGAUUUGAUAUAUCUUUCAAGUACUUUGAUCCGGUUAUACUUUUUUUUUAUUGCUAAAAAUAAAUAUCCACUUUUACUUGUUCAUUCUACAAAACAAAGACAAUAUUUUAUUGCUUGAUUCAGAUAUAAAAUUUGAGUAGGCUAAUUUACAAACCAUCUGUAGUCAUCCUGCCCCUAUGCUAUAACAUUUGAAAGAAAGAGGUCAUCAUCAUCAUAUUCAUCAUCGUUGUCAUCUUCAUCUUCAUCUUCAUCAUCAUCUUCAUCUUCAUCAUCAUCUUCAUCAUCAUCUUCAUCUUCUUCAUCAUUAUCAUCAUCAUCAUCAUGAUCGUCAUCGUCACUUGUUUCCUCACUGUUGAAAAAGCCAGCAACAAAAGAUGAAAAAUGAAAUGUUAUGCAAGUAUAACAAGUUACACAAUUACUAUAUUGGAAGGAUUUAAAUCAUAUACAAUGACAACGUAUGAACUUUUACACUAUAGGUGCCAUUUAACUGCUUAUUAAAGCAACUUAUAAUUAUUUUAUUACUAGUUCUGGACACAUGCUUUGCAUGUGUAUAUUACACGUUUAGUCACGAUUGUAAGAGGGUGUACACCAGGAUCAUUCGAAGAGCAAAGUCGUGUGAGCCUUACAGAUAUUCUUGACGUACUCCUAUUAAAAUCUGUAUCAUAAUAUCUGAUGAAAUCAGCUACUGAUCAGUCAAGCUCUCCAUUGAUGUAGACUUCAACUACACAUGAGAAAGAAUGAGAGAAGAAGAGAGAAGAGAAGAGAAGAAGAAUCUAGAAGAGCAACAUGAAAAUUAAUCUCUCAUUGAAUGUGAAUUAAAACUACAAGAAUUACAAUGUGACUAUAUAUAUAUAAUCACUGGCAGAAAUUAACUAACUAACAAACUUGAUUCUAACUAACUCUACUGUACAUAGAUUCUAACUAACUCUACUGUACAUAACCGACUCUACUGUACAUAACUAACUAAUUAUACUUUAUAUUCUCAUCACCCCCCCUCAAGUUGGAGGUGAUGUAAUUACAGACAACUUGUGCAAUAAGGCAGUAUGUUUAACUCCAGUCAGAGCCUUGGUGAAGAUGUCUGCCAACUGUGAAUCAGUGGGAAUAUGAUGGAGUGUGAUUAGGCCUUGUUGAAGCUUGGUCCUAACAAAGUGACAAUCGAUUUCUAUGUGCUUUGUCCUCUCAUGAAAAACUGGAUUCUUUGCAAUGUGGACUGCUGCUUGACUGUCACAAUGGACAGGGAUAGGUAAGGAGCAUUGUACAGUCAACUCAUCCAACAAUCGUUCAAGCCACACUAGUUCUCCUACAACUUGUCUCACAGCUCUAUAUUCAGCUUCAGCAGAUGACAAAGACACUGUUGCUUGCUUCUUAGACUUCCAGCUGACAGGACUAUCACCCAGAAGCACUAGGUAUCCACUAACAGACUUCCUGGAAUCAGGGCAAGCAGCCCAAUCAGAAUCACAAUAAGCACUGAUAGUGAGAUCAGGCUUGUUUGAGAUAAAAAUUCCCAAUGUUGGAUCCUGUUUCAAAUAUCUGAGCACAUGGUAUGCUGCUUUUAAAUGUGGUUCCCUAGGUGAUUGCAUAAAUUGGCUCAAGUGUUGUAUACUAUAAGCUAUGUCCAUUCUAGUGUUGGUCAAAAAAUUUAGCUUACCAACCAACUUCCUGUAUUGAGUAGGAUCAGAUAAAAGAUUGCCAUCUGUAGCUGUUAACUUCUCAGUGCAAUCAAGUGGUGAUGUAGUGGCCUUGUGACUUAACACAUCAAAAUCUUUCAGGAGAUCAGAAGUGAAUUUCCUUUGUGAAACUAGCACUCCAUCAUGUCUGUAUAAUAUUUCCAGUCCCAGAAAGUAGUGUAGUUUGCCCAAAUCCUUUAUCUUGAACUGAUCAUUUAAGAAGCUCUUUAAGGAGUUGAUUUCAGCCACAUCUGUUCCAGUUAGAAUUAUGUCAUCCACAUAUACAGCAACAAACACCAAGGAGCAGCCCUUCCUUUUGUAGAACAGUGAGUAAUCACUGUCUGAGUGCUGAUACCCUCUUGAACAUAGACAGUUUGCCAACUUCUCAUACCAUUGCCUGCUGGCCUGUUUUAGUCCAUACAAAGACUUCUUCAAUUUGCACACCAUGUUAUCACAACCUACUACAAGACCUUGUGGAGGUGCCAUGUACACUUCCUCAUGCAAAUCACCAUGUAAGAAUGCAUUAUUGACAUCUAGCUGAUACAAGCUCCAAUCUUUCUUAACAGCUAAAGAGAUUAAUGUUCUAACAGUAGUCAUUUUAACUACAGGUGAGAAGGUUUCAGUGUAAUCUACCCCAACUUGUUGUGUAUAACCUUUGACCACCAACCUACACCCCAGCUUGUUGUGUAUAACCUUUGACCACCAGCCUAGCCUUGAACCUCUCCACACUCCCAUCAGCUUUGUGCUUGAUUUUGUACACCCACUUGCACCCAAUAGCUUUCUUCCCAUCAGGUAACAUGACCAUCUCCCAAGUGUCAUUAGCAUACAAAGCUUCAAACUCCUGUGUCAUGGCCUGCUGCCAGGCAGGGUGCAAUAUUGCUUCCUCAAAUGAAAUAGGCUCACAUUCAUGUGAAAUGGUUGUUACUAACUGCUGACUAUCAGAACAAAGACUGGUGAAACAUACAUGUUUAUGGGGAGAUAUAAAGGAAGUGAGGGAGUGCAGCUUAGGUAUAGUGUAGGUGUAUUCUUUUAGGUAAUUAGGAGUGUGUAUGGUUCUGGUUGUUCUUCUAGGUGCUGAUAUUGUAGGUACUGGUAAAGUAUCAUGAUGCAUGGUGGCAUUUGGAUCAGGUAAGGUAGGUUGAGUUGUAGUAGGUUGAGUUGUAGGUUCAUGUAGGACAGCAGGUGGUACUUCAUUCAUGUUGGUAUUACUGGUUACUUGAUUAUUAGUGACUUCAUGUGGUGUGAAAUUUUCCAGUUGAUCAUCAUUAGCAAAAAUGUUCAUUUUACCAGACAUACAAGGCAUGCUAGUGGUAUGAGUAAGCAUUUGCAGAAUGGAAUUGAAACUAGAACCAUCAGGGGCAAUAACAAAAGGAAAAAUAUUUUCUUGAAAAAUAACAUCUCUUGAUAUAUGAACUUUCUUGGUAGCUAAAUUCAAAACUUUGUAACCUUUUGUAUUGAAAGGGUAACCAACAAAAACAUGAGGUGUGGUUCUAGGUUCAAAUUUAUCUUUGUGAGUUUUCAAGGUAGUGGGGAAACAAAGACAACCAAAACUCUUAAGGUGGGAAUAUGUAGGUGAUUUAUGGUACAACAUUUCAUAUGGAGAUUUAUUCUGUAAAAGUUGAGUGGGCAGUCUAUUAAUCAGGUAUGUGGCAGUCAAUACACAUUCCCCCCAGUACCUCAUAGGCAACUUUGACUGAAACAAAAGUGCCCUUGCUGUUUCAAGUAGGUACUUAUGUUUCCUUUCUACCACCCCAUUUUGUUGAGGUGUAUAAGGACAAGUUCUUUGGUGUAUGAUACCUUGUUUUGGAAGAAAUUUGUGGCUUCAGCUGAAGUAAACUCUAACCCAUUGUCAGAUCUUAUGGCUUUUUAACUUGGUUUGGAAUUGGUUUUCUAUGAGAGAUAUGAAGGCUUUGAUAGUUUGGAGAGCAUUACUCUUACAUCUCAGCAAUUGUGUCCAAGUGGACCUACUGUGGUCAUCUACCAUAGUGAGGAAAUAAUGAUAUCCAUCAUGAGUGGGAACAUGAUAUGGUCCCCAUAGGUCAACAUGUAACAACUCAAACACUUUAGUGGUGGUGGUGAUACUUUCUGGAAAAGGCAUCCUAGUUUGCCUAGCCAUAGGGCAUAUAUUGCAAGUAAAAGGCUGUUUAGGAGAAAAAUGAACAGGUAUAGUUGAGAUAUUUUUCAUUUUUACAAAAGGUACAUGUCCUAAUCUAGCAUGCCACAAAAGUUCAUCAUCAUGAGUGUGAUUAGAGACAUUUGUAAAUGAAGGACAAGCAUGAGUAAAACAAGAGGAAGGAAAAACAGUACAAUCUGCCUUAUUCAUAGGAGAGUAUUUUACAGAAGAACCAGUGGACACAUUAGAAUCUGAAACCCUGCUAGUAUUGCCUAAAGAAGAGACAAGAGGACAAUUAACAUGAGGUGCUUUACUCUCAGCAGAUGGACAACAAUUGUGGCAUUUGUGACACAAGAAGUACAGGCCAUUCUUGGCUUUACCAAGUUCCAGAGGGCUCUUCAGAGAAGGGCCCUGCAGCAAACAAGAAGAUUUGUCAAAGCUGACUACACCAUUGAAUUGUAGUGCUAAACAAUGAACAGAAAUGAGAUUAAACUUGAAGCUAGGUACAAACAACACUUUGCUUAGAGUCAAAGCUGGAUUUAAACAAGCAUCACCAAUUUCAGUCACUUUAACCUUGUAACCAUUAGGGAGUGAAAUUAGAAAGGGAUAUGGAAGUGAAAUGAUGUUUGUGAGGGUGGUCUUAUCAUAGGUCAUAUGGUGUGAUGCUCCUGAAUCUAUGAUCCAAGAGCCAGCAGUCAGUUUAACACAUUUACAAGAAAGAUCACCUAUAUCAGUAAUAGAGGAAUAACAUGCAAGUAUACCUGCCAAGUUCACAGCUCCAUUCAGCAUGUUGUUUGAGUUGUCUGAGGCUCCAUUUCCAACUUGUAAAGUUCCCAGGAGAUUGAGUAGUUGUUCAUAUUGAUCUUUGGACAAGUUCAAUGGCAUUUGUCUCCUUACUUCAGGUUCCUCUUCAGAUUGAACUCCAUUCAUAUCAGGGGCACACACAUUUGCUGCAGCUUUUCCCUUUUUGAACCUUGGAUUUGGAUUGGAUGGGUAUCCAUGAAGCUUGUAACAUCUAUCCUUUGUGUGUCCUGAUUUCUUACAGUAGUCACAAAACAAAGAAGACUUGCCAGUGCUAGAAUUGCCUCUAAACCCAGUAUUACCAGAAUUGGUUCCACCUCCUCCAGAUGAACUGUAGUUUGUCCGGAAUCCCCUGUAUCCUGCACUGCUGUUGGUCUGUCCAUAAGCAUUGAGAGAGGUAGAAUCCAAGGCUGUAUGAUUAUGAGGCUUCACCUCCCUUUGUUUUUCCUCUUGGGAUAAUAUGGCAAAAGCUUGAGCCAUGCUUGGAAGUGUGUUCAUCAUGAGAAUGCUGCCUCUGACAGUCGUAUAUAUCUCAUUCAAUCCCAUUAGAAAAUGUAUCAAUCUUCUGUCUUGUUCAGCCUUGUGUAAUUUGCUUUUACCCCCACAAAUGCACACACAAGUACACUGAGAAUUGACAUCAAUGGUACUCAUUUCCUCCCACAACUUCUUCAUUCUUGUGUAAUAUCCAGUGAUGUCUAAAGUGCCUUGGACCAGAUCAUUAAUUUCCUUCUGCAGUUGAUACAAUUUACACCCAUUGGUUUGAUCGUACCUUUCUUCUAGUUCUCCCCAAAGCUCCUGAGCAUUAUUGACAUACUGCAGACUAUCACGCAAAUCUGGUGACAAGGAAUUCAGGAUCCAAGAUGUGACCAUAUCAUCACACCUUUCCCAUUGCUGAAAGCUAGGAUCAGUAGGAUCAGGUCUCACAACCUUCCCAUUAAUGAAUCCUGUCUUGCUCUUAACAGAUAAAGCCCUGAGAACUGCUCUUCUCCAGGAUCUGUAACCAGUUCCAUCAAAAACUGCAGGUAAUAGGGAUGAACUUGCAUUCUCAGAUGGAUGCAAGUAGAAAGGACUAGGGAUUUCUACCCUAACAGUGGAUGCAGAAGCAUUUGGAAUGGAAUCAUUUGAAGAAUCGACCAUUGUGAAUUGAAAAUUGGGAAGAAGAUCAAGUCGAGAACAACCAGAUCAAACAGCGUUCACAAACAAAAUUGACAGAUCGAAGAUCCAGUCGAGAUCAACCAGAUCAAAGAAAAAAUUCACAUAAGAGAAAACGAAGCUCACAGAUUGAAUUGGAAACAAAAAAAAACAGGAGCAAUUCCCUGUGCUUUGAUACCAUGAUGAAAUCAGCUACUGAUCAGUCAAGCUCCUCCAUUGAUGUAGCUUCAACUCACAUGAGAAAAGAUGAGAGAAGAAGAGAGAAGAGAAGAGAAGAAGAAUCUAGAAGAGCAACAUGAAAAUUAUCUCUCAUUGAAUGUGAAUUAAAGAAGUGAGUAUUACAAUGUAUCUGUAUAUAUACACAAUCACUAAGCAACUAAUAAUCAUUGGCAGAAAUUAACUAACUAACAAACUUGAUUCUAACUAACUCUACUGUACAUAACCGACUCUACUGUACAUAACUAACUAAUUAUACUUUAUAUUCUCAUCAAUAUCCCUUUUUUCAAAUUUCAUAGCUGAACUACUAGGUGUGCGAGUUCCUACCAGAACUAUUACCAACUAUUUAUCAAAACACACAUCAACUAUAUAUGAGUUGUUCCCUUUUACUAGUGGUGAAAAAUAGGUGGAUUUGGACGGGACUGAAAAUGGAUUGAGCAACAUGGUCGUAACUCACUUUAAUCUCUUAAAGCCAGAAAACUUUAAAGAGUUAAUUGAAAUAAACUUAAUGACUAUCCUACUUGAAGUAUCACCAUCGUUCAGGUAAGAAAAAGGAAGUAAAUCAAGGAAGACGAUGUCUUACAAAGCCUGAUGGAUAUGGACCUCGAUAGAACCUCCAUAGUUGUCUUGAAUGUCCUGUUGAAUCUGCUUUGCGGAAUUCCCAACAGAUUCUGGGCAGUUUCUUAUAUCAAUUAGAGCAAGUGUGGUUAUAUCUGCAAAAUCUUGAGGGAUUGAGUCCAAAAACCUGCAACUAUCAAGAAAUAGUCGUUCAAGGCACGGAAAGUGAUCACAACUAGCUCUCCAGUACUGAAUAUGUGAUCUUUUAAGUAACAAGAACUUCAAAAAAGGAAACCCUUCCUCAGCUACUUCCCACUCCCUGCCUCUGCAUACACCCUGUGUUAGUUCAAGAAGUUCAAGUUUGGGCAAUUUUCCGACAACAAUGCUUAAAUCCUUCCAUGACAAGAAGAAAUUUCCUGUAAAAGUUAAAUUCUUAAGGUUUCGUGGAAAAGCAUCUGGAGGAGGUAAGAUCAAAGAUGGAACAACUUCUACAACAAGUGGAUUCCUUGUCUGAAAACACAUUCUCCUCUCCAAAAAGUAAGCAUUAUUUUGAGGAGGAAGACAAAAUGCUAGUUCCUCGAGAUGAUCUAAGUAGCGAAAAUCAUAGAGGUCUUUGUGACUAUGGAAGUCUUGUGGGAUGCCACGUACUUGCAACUCCUUUAAAUUGGGAAAUAGUCUAAAGAAAGAUGCAGUACAAUAGCUAGGAUUCCAUCCAAACAGAGAAUGUAAAUUUUUCAUAACCAAACUUUUCUCUGUAAGCUCAUGAUAUCGCAAGUAAUUCCGAUCCAAAUGAAGGUGCCUCAACUGUGGCAUAGUCAAAAUUUCUGAUGGUAAUAUCAAAGCAUGUUUACGAAGAUUAAUAACGAGUGGAAGGUAAAGUACCAAACUUUGCAGAUAGCAUAGGUUUGAUAUGGAUGUAGGAAUGUCUACUCUUGAUGAGAGAACAUCUUCUUCGGAUCCUAGAUAUUGCUCAACGUUAGGAUAAAUACGCAAAGCUAGGUGUCUUAAGUGAAUCAAAUAAAGUAUUUCACGGGGAAAAGUUAGACAGAUAUUAUCAGCAAGAUCUAGAACUCUUACUAGCUUGAACGGCAAGUACUCCCUCAUGCAACAUCGGAAUCUACCAAAUAAGAUAACAGAAUGAGCUUCACUGUUAAGGCACCUAACAUACUCUUUCUUAUUAUGGAUGCUGAUUCGACCUCGACUCUUAGACAAACACUGCAUAGAUUUCACACAUGGAUUUUGAUCAUUCUUACUUCCGAGAACAUUCACAAAAUUCAUGUUACGAGCUUCCAUCAUACAGAGUUCACGAGUCGUAUCAUGAAUUCCACAACACUUAAUUUUUCCAUCAAAAGUAGUACUUUCUAUGGAAAUUAAACUUCUAUCAAUAAGAUCUUGUAGGUACUUUUCUGCCACUUCUUCUAUGCUUUUCAUCUCUUCUACCUUCAAAAAUCCCUCUGUUUCCCACAAUAUCAUAAGUUUAUUGACAAAAAUCAGUUUAUCCUCUGGGAAGAUUGCGAAAUAUAAAAAGCAUGGUUUUAGGUGGUGAGGCAAGUAAUGGUAACUCAUUGCCAACACCCUCAUGCAUUGGACACCAACAUCUGUGCUUACUGCUGAACUUACAUUUUCAGCAACACUUUGCCACUCACUCAAUGCUUUGUCAAUUUUAGUGAGAAGUCCCGCGAUCACAACAAUUGCUAGAGGCAAUCCUCCGCAUUUCAAUGCAAUUUGCUUUCCAAGUUGUUCAUAUUCAGGGGAGAAAGAGUCUUUCGUAAAGACUUUUUCAUACAAUAAACUCCAACUUUCGUCAAAAUUCAUGAGGCGCAUGUGAUAAGGAGGCUUACCUGAGCUAGCAUAUUCAGCCACUUCCACAUUCCGAGUAGUCAAGAGUAUUCGGCUUCCAUUAUGAAAGUCUGGGAAACAUAUUUGUAUAUCAUCCCAAGCUUUUGUAGUCCAUAUGUCAUCAAUGACUACCAAAUAUCUCUCACCUUUUAGAAGCUUUUGUAGUCGAUCUGCUAGUUGCCCGUCAUGUAGCUGAUCAUAAGGUUUAUCACUUAUACAAGAAAGAAGGUCUAGGAAAACAUUUCUCACACAAUACUCUUGUGAAACAGUAGCUUUAGCACGAAUGUCAAAACGAUACAUCAUGCAUGGAUCGUUGUAGAGUUUCGUAGCCAAAGUUGUCUUGCCAAUGCCUCCCAUACCUACAAUUGAUACAACUGCUAGUUCUCUUUCUCCUCUAGCAAGUUGAUCCAGCAUCAUCUUGAAUUCAUUUUCAUAGCCAACCAUUAUAUCCUCGGACCGCUCAACAGCACGUUCAGGUAUCUUGGAUAGACAAAAAUUUUGUGCUUUGAAAUCUUUAAAGUUGUUGUACCAGUCCCAUAUUGCCAACCACUGCAUCAUGAAGGAAUCAAUGCAUUCUACCUCUUGUUCCAAGGAACAACAGAGUUCCCAGAAAGCUUUGCUUCGUGUAAUUACAGUUUCUGCGGAAGAAACUUUUCUUGAUUUCGAAUCAACCAUGUCUUCUGCUUUGUAUGCUACCUCCGCGAUUUCAACUUCCAAGGUUGUUAACCCCUCAUGAUCUCCCGUUAUAUUGCAGGAUUUCUCCAUAAUAGCUCUCAAAGAUUCAAGCUUUUCAUAGAAUGGUUGCAAAUCACAUCCAGUAAGUUCCAUUGACUGGUGUAUGGUUCUCAUAAGGGAAGUAACAGCAGCAUAAGCCAUAUAUCCAAAAAAUAGGAAUCUCUCACACUCAGUAUGAAAAUGGACAAAUUAAUUGCCACAAGUUAUGUAAUCUUUCUUUUACUAACUAUUUCCAUCACAUUUCUAGCUAGGUCCACUAACAGGUAAAGUAGAAAGAUGUGAGGUCCCUAACCUUAUCAUCAUGUAGACAAAAGAAGAGACCAAAGUUUUUAAAAAAAAGACAGGAAAAAGUAGAAAAAUUUGUGAUCAUUCAUUAUUAGACCCUACACUAAUCUCUUUAGAAAAAUAAACUAAAAUUUUAGUUUAAAUAAAGGAGUUCAAGCUGUAUAUUGAUAACGCCCAAUUCAAAUUCAAGUGUAGUACGGUCUAGCAAUAAUAAACUCAACAAAUGUUGGGGUCGAGGAGUAUGCUUGUGUCAAGGUGACAGAGAAUGCGAAUUUGCGAAUUUCCUAAGCUUAUCUACAAAUAAAAGGUCUUUCUUUUAGCUAGGUCCAUAAUCCAUGUAGUGCUCUCUACUCUCUAGUCUCUAUCAACCAACUCAAGUUUAAGGGUGUGUUUGGUAUGGAGGAAACAUUUUCUCUAGAAUAGGGAGAGUUUUGUGCAUAAACAAAGAAGAAUAUCUCAGUAUAACAGUGAAUGUGUAUUUUUUUUAUGAUUUGCUUCAUUUGAGUAUGACUUUUGUAAGAAAAUUCUGGUAAAAGUUUAAAAAAUGAUCUUGUGGAAUAAGCACAGUGAAUUCCUUAAUAUUCGAGUAGAAAAAGCCAGGGAGGAUAACAUUGCUAUUUGUACACUUAUCGUGACACGAGUAGUCUCUUAAAUAUUACACCUUUCUACUGGUGUUGCUGGUGCCACUGAAUUUAGCCUUCCGUCUUCCUUUGCGAGGUAGAUUGAGGACUCCCAAGAAAGGAAACACAAGGUACUGGAGUCUGUUCCGGCCUCUACAGUAUGUAUGUACAUAAAAUUUGGAGUAACUAAAAAACCACUGACAAAUGGCUAUACGAAAGAUCAUAUACAAUUUAAUUACAAGCCAUUUGCAAUCAUCCUGCCCCUUUAUGCAGAAUCUUUUCAAAGAAAAUGAAAACAAACACUCACACAUUUGGCUUCUGAUUGACAUUUAUUUCAGAGAACUGGCUAGUCCUCAGAACACCUUAACUACUCGCUGCAGAAAAAAAAAGACGCAAAAAAUGGAAAAUAAUAUGUUAGAUGUCCCAUAAUUAAGGAACAGGAGAACAUUAUAGCAAGAAUGAGCAUGCAGGUAUAAGAACUUACACAUUAUUGCGGCAAGAAGCAACUUCUUUCUCAAAGUCAAUAUCAUCAUCUUCAUCUAUUGUUACACUACAUCGAAAAUGCUUGCUACAAAAGAUGAAAAAUGAAAUGUUACACUUCCCAAAAUCAAGAAUGAGCAUGCAAGUAUAACAACUUACACAAUAUUGGAAGGAUUCGAAUCAAUCACAAUGACAGCAUCAAGAACUUUUGUUGAAUUGGUGUAAUUUGACUUACUAAAGCUAUUAUCCAGAUUAUUAUCGAGUUUACUAUAAUGAUGAGUUAAAUAUUGUUGUAAAUCAAGGAAGAAGAUGUACUUACUAAAGAUUACGAGUAUGGACCUCGAUAGAGCUUCCAUAGUUGUCUUGAAUGUCCUGUUGAAUUUGCUUGGCGGAAUUCCCAACAGAUUGUUGACAGUAACUUAUAUCAAUAAGAGCUAGUGUGGUUAUAUCUGCAAAAUCUCGAGGGAUUGAAUCCAAAUAAUAGCAACUUCUAAGAAAAAGUCGUUCAAGGUACGGAAAGUGAUCACUACUAGCUCUCCAGUACCGAAUGCAUACUUCAUGCAGAAACAAGAACUUCAAGUGAGGAAACCCUUCCUCAACUACUUCCCACUCCUCGCCUAUGAAGGAUUUCCAUGAUAGUUUAAGGACCUCGAGUUUGGGUAAUUUACCAACAAUGCUCAAAUCCUUCCAUGCCAAAAAGAAUUCUCCGCUAAAAGUUAAACUCUUAAGGUUUUGUGGAAAAGCAUCCGGAGGAGGUAAGCGUAAAGUUGAAACAUCAGUUGGAGGUGCAGUUGCCCUGAAAGGUAAGAGUAAACUUGUAUAAAGUUGAACAACUAGCCACAUGAGUCCUACAUGACACAAUACACAUAAGACACCAACUAUUUCCAUCACAUUUCCAGCUAGGUCCACUAACAGGAUAAAGUAGAAAGAUGUGAGGUCACUAACCUUAUCAUCAUGUAGACAAAAGAAGAGACCAAAGUUAAAAAAAAAAAAGACAGGAAAAAGUAGAAAAAUUUGUGAUCAUACAUUAUUAGACCCUACACUAAUCUCUUUAGAAAAAUAAGUUUCAAUAAAGGAGUUCAAGCUGUAUAUUGAUAACGUCCAAUUCAAAUUCAAGUGUAGUACGGUCUAGCAAUAAUAAACUCAACAAAAGUUGGGGUCGAGGAGUACACUUGUGUCAAGGUGACAGAGAGUGUUCUGGCCUAUACAGUAUGUAUGUAUGUACAUAAAAUUUGGAGUAUCUAAAGAACCACUGACAAAUGGCUAUACGAAAGAUCAUAUACAAUUAAAUUACAAGCCAUUUGCAAUCAUCCUGCCACCUUAUGCAGAAAAAAUGAAAAUUCUGAUUUGACAUUUAUUUCAGAGAACUGGCUAGUCCUCAGAACACCUUAACUACUCGCUGCAGAGAAAAAAAAAAGACACAAAAAAUGGAAAAUAAUAUGUUAGAUGUCCCAUAAUUAAGGAACAAGAGAACAUUAUAGCAAGAAUGAGCAUGCAGGUAUAAGAACUUACACAUUAUUGCGGCAAGAAGCAACUUCUUUCUCAAAGUCAUCUUCAUCUGUUGUUAUAUCGAAAAUGCUUUCUACAAAAGAUGAAAAAUGAAAUGUUACACUUCCCAAAAUCAAGAAUGAACAUGCAAGUAUAACAAGUUACACAAUAUUGGAAGGAUUCAAAUCAAACACAAUGACAGCAUCAAGAACUUUUGUUGAAUUGGUGCAAUUGGACUUACUAAAGCUAUUAUCCAGAUUAUUAUCGAGUUUACUAUGAUGAUGAGUUAAAUAUUGUUGUAAAUCAAGGAAGAAGAUGUCUUACAAAAGAUGACGAGUAUGGACCUCGAUAGAGCUUCCAUAGUUGUCUUGAAUGUCCUGUUGAAUUUGCUUGGCGGAUUUCCCAACAGAUUGUCGACAGCUACUUAUAUCAAUAAGAGCUAGUGUGGUUAUAUCUGCAAAAUCUGGAGGGAUUGAAUCCAAAUCAUAGCAAUUUCUAAGAAAAAGUCGUUCAAGGUACGGAAAGUGAUCACUACUAGCUCUCCAGUACCGAAUGUAUAUGUUAUCCAGAAACAAGAACUUCAAGUGAGGAAACCCUUCCUCAACUACUUCCCACUCCUCGCCUAUGACGGCAUUGUCUGAUAGUUUAAGGACCUCGAGUUCGGGUAAUUUACCAACAAUGCUCAAAUCCUUCGAUGCCAAAAAGAAUUCUCCGCUAAAAGUUAAACUCUUAAGGUUUUGUGGAAAAGCAUCCGGAGGAGGUAAGAGUAAAGUUGGAACAUCAGCUGGAGGUGCAGCUUUCCCGAAUUGUGUCUUUUUGUACAAUAAUUUCGUCUGAAACCUCAGAGGAUCUUGCGGAGUAGAACCUGAAGGUGCAGUGCUUUCUAGAACGCAAGCAGCACCUGGAUAAUAAACACGAAAUGCCAAUUUCUCGAGCUGAUAUAAGUAGCGAAAAUCAUACAGGUCCUUGUGAUUGCGAAAGUCCUCUUGGACGCCAAAUACUUUCAACUUCUUUAAAUUGGGAAAUAGUCUAAAAAAAGACCCUGUACAAUUCCGAGGAUUCAAUUGAUUGAGACAUUGCAAACUUUUCAAAACCAAUCUGUUCUCUGUAGGCUCAUGACUCCGCAAGUAAUUCCAGCCCAUACGCAGCUUCCUCAAUUGUGGCAUCGUCAAAAUUUCCGAUGGUAAUAUGAAAGGAUAACUAUCGGUAAAUGGAAGGUAAAGUUUAAAAGUUUGCAGAUAGCAUAGGCAUGAUAUCGAUAGAGGAAUGUCUAUUAUUGAUGAGGGAACAGCUUCUAUCGAUCCUCGAUACUGCAGUAAGCAAGGAUUAAAACACAAAGAUAGGUAUCUCAAAUGAAUUAGAGAAAGUACUCCACUGGGAAAAAUUGGGCAUGGAGUCCAACCAAGAUCUAGUACUCUUACUAGCUUGAAAGACAAUUCCAGUGUGAUGCAAUUGAAUCCACGCAACAUGAUAAUAGAAUGAGCCUCACUGUUACGACACCAAGCCAAUUCUUCCUCCUUAUAGAUACUGAUCCGACUUCGCUUCUUAAAGGAACACUGCAUGGAUUGUGCACAUGAAUUUUGAUCACUCUUUCCUCUGAUAACAUUCACAAAAUUCAUGUUUCGAGCUUCCCUCAAACAGAGUUCACGGGUCACAUCAUGCAUUCCACAGCUCUGUAUUUCCCCAUCAAAACUCAAUUUGUGGAUAGAAAUUAGACUUCUAUCUACAAGUUCGUUUAUACAUGUUUCUGCCACCUCUUCUAUGCUUUUUCCCUCUUCUUCAUUCAAAAACCCCUCUACGGCCAAUAACUCAACAAGUUUAUUUACAAAAAUCCGUUCAUCCUCUGCGAAAAUUGCAAAAUACAGAAAACACGGUUUUAGGUGAGAAGGCAAGUGAUGGUAACUCAAAGCCAACACUCUCAUGCAUUGUGCUUCAGGAUCUGUGCUUACCACCGAACUUACAUUCUCCGCAAUUCUUUGCCACUCAUCUAAUCUUUGACCGAUUUUGGAGAGAAGUCCAGCAGUCACAGUAAUUGCUAGAGGUAAUCCUCCACAUUUUAAUGCAAUUUGUUUCCCAAUAUUUUCAAAUUCAGGAGAAUAAGAACCUUCUUUUUCAAAGAUCUUUUUGUGUAGUAAAUUCCAACUUUCGUCAAAAUUCAUGAGGCGCAUGUGAUGAGGAGGCUUACCUGAACUAGCAUAUUCAGCCACUUCCACAUUCCGAGUAGUCAGGAGUAUUUUGCUUCCAUUAAUACAGUCCAUAUGUCAUCAAUGACUACCAAGUAUCUCCUGCCUUUCAGAUGCUUUUGCAGUCGGUCCGCUAGUUGAUUCUCAGGUUCAUCACUUAUCGAAGAAAGAAGGCCUAGGAUUACAUUUCUCACACAAUACUCCUGCGAAACAGUUACUUUUGCACGAAUAUCAAAUCGAGACAUAAUGUAAGGAUCACUAUAGAGUUUUGCAGCCAAAGUUGUUUUCCCGAUGCCUCCCAUCCCUACGAUUGAGACAACUUCUAGUUCCCUUCCUCCUCUAGCAAGUUGAUCCAGCAUCAUCUCAAAUUCAUUUUCACGGCCAACCAUUAUAUUCUCGGGCUGCUCAACAUCAUGUUCAGGUAAACUGACAAGUGAGCUAGUUUGUGGUUUUAGAUCUUUCAUGCUGUCCGAUGCUGCCAUCCACUGUUUCACGGUGGAAGCAAUGCAUUCUAGUGCUUGUUCCAAGACGAAAAAAAUCUCCCACAUAGCCCUGCUUCUUUCCUCCAAAUUCUGUGCUAAAAAAACAUUUCUUGAUUCCGAGUCAACCAUAUCUUCUGUUGUGUAUGCUACCUCUACGAUUUCAACUUCCAAGAUUGUUAACUCCUCAUGAUCGCCCGUUAUAUUGCAGGAAUUCUCCAGAAUAGUUCUUAAAGAUUCGAGCUUCUGUGUAUGCUACCUCUACAAUUUCAACUUCCAAGAUUGUUAACUCCUCAUGAUCGCCCAUUAUAUUGCAGGAUUUCUCCAGAAUAGCUCUCAAAGAUUUGAGCUUUUCAUAAAACGGUUGCAAAAUCACAUCCAGUAAGUUCCAUUGAUUGAUGUAUGGUUCUCAUAAGGGAAGUAACAGCAGCAUAAGCCAUAUAUACCAAAAAAUAGAAAUAUCUCUCAG
rnacentral:lncRNA from 1 species